rnacentral:lncRNA from 1 species
AAGUUUUUCUCAACAUUUCUAUGAGUUCUCAUCAAUUUUUGUCCAACUAAUUUUUUUUGUCAAAAUUCCCACCAAUAUAUCCUAAUAUAUCUGUAAAAUCCAACUACCAAUAUAUUCGUAAAACCUCUAUUUUCAUCCUUGGUCUAAAUCAUCUUAAUGAAUUUUCAAGUAAAAGGAAAAAAAAAAACAAUUUGAUACAAGAUUGAAACUACACUACACUGAUGGAGUGCUUAUAGCAUUAGCCGAGAUCGCCUAAUAAUAAAAUUGAUUCUUUCGAACUAUGAAGCAAAGGGACUAGGAUUGGAAUGCAAUGGAAAACACAAGUAAACAUGUGUCCCACAAUCAUCAUAAAACAAUAUCAAAUCUAACACAAACCAAAAAAUUGAUGGUUUCACCAGAACUAUUAGUUGGAAGGUUUAAGCAGUUAACCAACUGGUAAACCAAAAAAGAGAGGAGAUUCUACAUAAAUACAUGGAGACCUCAAAAUGAAUGAAGUACCCACGUUUAACAUGUGUUAGAACCAAAGUCCAUGGAUUCAUAUAUCACACUUCUGAUUACUUUAUUUUUAUUUGCACAAUAUCUUUUUCACAUAUAUCCAUAAACAAAACUAGAGUAAAUUUAAUACUGAAGAUAGGUUUCUCAUACGCCAAGAAAUGUUCAUUUACUUAUAUGCCAUUGAAUACUUAAACAUAGAGGCAAUCUUCAUAAUGCACAUGUUCAAUCUCCAAGAUUGGGCCUUUGAAGCUUCAAAUUCUAAGUGCCAAUUCCAAACAUGGGUUCAAUGAAUCUCCAAGAAACGAUUUGGGUGCUUGAUCCAACAAAGAGAUUGGAUAAAGGCCUUCACUCAAGAACUACUGCAUUUAUUUGCAUUAGCAUAACAUAAUAAUUCAAAAACUAGUUUUGCCUUCAUAUUUGCUUGUACAUUUAUGAGAUCAAACAUUCUUUUUCAAACCCAACAAAAAACAAUAAUAAAUUGCGGGAAAAUAUGAUAUCAUCUACCAUGCAUGUCUCUUUUUCUUUUUGAUGCUUGGUUGAAAUUAACCCCUAUGCUCAUAGAAGCUACAUGCAAUAAGUAUCCAUUUCUAGAAAACUUCAAUAAAUGCAAACAAGACCUAAUAGAAGUGUAGAGAAAUAUAAAACAAAAGUUGCAAUCUAUCUUACUCAGAAUCACAUCAAUUAGAUAAUAUAUGUCUAACAACAGGAAAAAUUUCACAUGCUCCAUAAUUUGACUAACUAAACUAGAUGUCAUAAAAAAAAACCAGCGAUGUCAAGGAAAUGAGUGUACUGGCCAAAUAUCAUAGGGGCCAAGUUUGUCUCAUGUAUUUUUUCAAGGAACUUUUAUGAUAUCCCACAUCCAAAAUGGGAGAAAGUUACUAAGGUUAUAUAUGUAUGGACUCUUCUUAACUUUGUAAACAUGUUUUAAAGCCAUAAGGGCUCAUUUGGGUUCAAAGCGGACAAAAUCUACACAAUUGAGAGCGGGUCGUUACAUAUGGUAUUAGAGUUGAUCCCCGACCCCAGUGUGGGGCAUUGUUUGGCCCCGCAAAAGGUGUUUGUCUGUUUGAAUUCAUAAUCUCAUGAGACACAAUAAGGAUGUUAUGUUUGUAUGAGAAGUCUUUGUGAUAUCUCAGAUCAGAUAGGGGAGAAAGUUACUGAGACUAUAUAUGCAUGGACUCUUCUUAACUUUGUAGAUGUGUUUUAAAGACAUGAGAGCCCCUUUGGGUUCAAAGUAGACAACAUGUAUAAGGUUGAGAGUGAGUCAUUACAACUUGUGAGAGAAGUACCACAUAGUCCAUAAAGCUAUCUAAGAGUCUUGAAAAUCCAUUUGUUUCAUACAUCACCACAACCUUUUAAAGGAUAUGCUCCUAAGUAAAUUCAGGUUCUAAAGUCUCAAAUAUAAGGUGACAUUAGUUUUAUAGGGAAAUUAGAUCAUGACUAUCAAGCAGGACAAACUUAUGAUUAAUUUCUUUUAGGAGUGUAAACAGUACACAUACUAAAAUAUUACAUGGAGGUGCAAUUAUCCAAGACUAUUCAAAUAUGGUAUGUUCACCAUGCAUAUUGAAAAAGUAGAAACCACCAUUGAAUCACACAAUAAAAUAACUGGACAAUGGAAAGCAUAUCAAACAAAGCAGCUUUUGCAACUGUAGCUGAAAAUUUUAAGAUAUGAUAUCUCAACCAACUAAAGGUAUAAGUAAUGCACAUAAACACUGGGCAAUUAUUCAAAGUAGCCAUCUAGUGCAAAAUUUAAUAAUUUAGUAACUUCUGAACACUAUAAAAUAAAUAAAUAAAUAAAUAUGGCAUGUACAAGCAGAGUGUAAAGAAAACCUGGGUGAAACAUCAUUGAUACUCCAUACAGAUGAAUAGUUUAUUUCACAUGCUUGUUUUCGUUUGUCAUGCAUUCCAAAUGCAACACUGCCAACAUGCUCAAUGCAACAUUUCAUCUCAGUGUUGUGCCCAUUGUAUACUUUUAAUAUCAAUUCCUUCCUUCACCAUUUCAUAGAGUGGGCUCAUUUCUCUCAAUUUCUCCACCUGCUGCACCGUGAGUUCCACAGCCCUAUCAAUUUCAGCGUCUGUGGUAAACCUCCCAAUCCCAAACCUAAUAGAGGUAUGAGCCAUAUCCUCAUCCACCCCCAACGCCCUUAGAACAUAUGAGGGCUCCAAACUUGCACUUGUGCAUGCACUCCCACUGGAAACUGCCACUUCCUUCAACCCCAUUAGCAAACUCUCCCCUUCAACGUAAGCAAAAGACAAAUUCAAAUUCCCAGCAUACCUCCUCUCCCUACUCCCAUUUACCACCACACCAUCAAGUUUUGCGUUGAUCCCGUUAAGCAGCCUUUUUUGCAAAGCAGUGAUUCGCUCAUCGUCAUACUCCAUUUCUUUCAUUGCCAGCUCACAUGCUGCGCCCAUUCCCACAACCAGCGGAGUUGGGACUGUCCCACUGCGAAUUCCCCUUUCUUGCCCACCACCAUUCAUCUGCGGCUCAACCCUAAUCCUUGGCCUACGCCGCAUAUACAAGGCCCCAACUCCCUUGGGCCCAUAAAUCUUGUGCCCACUCAAAGACAUCAAACUCACAUUCAUCUUCUCCACGUCAAUCGGAAUUUUGCCCAAAGCCUGAGCCGCAUCAGUAUGAAAAGGAACACCCAACUCUUUACACAUCUUCCCUAUUUCUUCAAUCGGCUGAAUCACGCCAAUCUCAUUAUUCACCGCCAUCACCGACACGAGCCCUGUAUCGGGCCUAAUCGCGGACCGAAUUUGAUCAAUAUCAACAAUCCCAUCAGACCCUACCGGAAGGUACGUAACCUCGAAACCUUCCUGCUGUAAAUGGCGGCAGGAGUCAAGAACACACUUGUGCUCCGUUUGCGUAGUGAUGACGUGGCGCUUCUUGUCCUUGUAGAAGUGCAUGACGCCCUUGACGGAAAUGUUGUUGGAUUCAGUGGCGCCGGAGGUGAAGACAAUCUCCUUAGGAGAGGCGUUGAUUAGCGCCGCCACCUGUGCCCUUGCCUUCUCGACAGCGAGUUCCGAUUCCCAGCCGUAGAGAUGAGUCCGGGAAUGAGGAUUCCCAAAGCUGGAGAGGUAGUAGGGAAGCAUAGCAUCGAGAACCCUAGGGUCCACAGGAGAUGUUGCCUGCACAUCAAGGUAAAGCGGCCUUCCAGAAAUUUUAACCCCUUUCAUGCUAAUCCCAUCUGCAUCCUCGUACGAUUCCUUCGCCGCCACCGCCGCUGUAGCCGUAGAAAGGUGGCUGAGGAGGCGGCAGGUGGGACUGGUAGUUUUGAGGGUUUGGAGGAGUCUGGAAGCCAUGGGUGUGAUGAGUUUGUGGUCUGUUGAGGAGUGACAAAUGGGGCAUGUGCAGCGAACUAUCCACGUGGAGCAGCAUGCAGACAAGUACACCACCCUCUGCAUGUGCUCCUCUAGUCCUCAAAUCCUCAAUCCUCACCACAACAUAGGAUUCUCUGACGUAGGCAGCCGGCGCUGGUUAUUCAUUUUUCGAAAAUAUUUGCCAAAAUUCUUACGAAAAAUAUUUGCAAUUAUUUUGAUGAACAAAAUUUUAUUUAACAACUCAACCCAUUCAAAAGCAUAUUCCACUCCCCACCCCCACCCAACACCAACGCCCCAGAGUUUAUGAAAUAAAAUCAAACAGCCUAUUUCUCCGGUCUUCCAUUGGCACCAGGCCUGACCCUUUUCUACUCAUUUUUUAGUUAAGUUACCGUUUGAGAUUCUAUUGGCACAAUAAAAUGCUGGACUCUUUACUGCUCUAGCCAAGCUAGGAUUGUCUGGGUCAAGUUAGAAGAUGGAGCUGAGUUGUCCUAUACCUGGACCCAGCCUGCCUGAAUUGCAAAAGCUAACCGUGGUUUAGAUUUGUAAAAACCGAAAAAAAAAAAAAAAAACCUUCAUGUAUACAAGUAGCACAAUGUAUCAAUUAUUUCCAGAUGCAAGCAAGCUGCAGUUCCAACAAUGGCAGCAGAGGAUAGUAGAGUCAACUGGAAAAUUUUCCUUCAGUCUUUUGGAACACAAGUACUUAAACAUUUUACAGGCUAAACAGUGAAAAAAAGAGUUGUAUAUGCAAGGUGGACGAGUGGAUCAUUUCUCACCCAACCAUUGCAAUUGUGAUCACCGAAGAUCAAUGACAUCAAAAUGUAUAUUGGGAUUCAUAUAAACAUCUGUACAGCUUUUGUAGAUGGGCCCACCAUCCGAAGGAGAAUGAUGUGGAUGAAAGCCACGUUGGUCGCAGUGUCUUAUGACUGACAUGCCACCUGGAGUUGUCAGGCGGAAAAUGCCAUGCUUUCUGCAUGUGUGAAAAGAAGGAAAAAAUUGCUUAACAAUAUUCAUAUGGCAUAGAUGAUAAUGCAUUCCUUCACCAGAUGAGAGAAUUCACUCUUACUUUGAAGCAUCCUUUGGUGCCAUGACAAUUGCUAUGGCUUCCGGUAGCAUAGUCUGAGGAGGAAAAGAGAACAUUCAAACAAAUAAAUUAUUUAAGAUGACAUGCUUAGGACCAAAAAAGAAAUGGUGAAAGGGCACACCUGAUAUGAGUAAUGGGUAUGAAGAUCAACAGAAGACAUGAAACACGACUGGGUAGGAUGAGUCUGAAAGUCAAACCAUGGCGAAUGAUUAAUCAUUAUUGAUAAAAAGGUUGAGCAAAGGUAAAUCACUGCAUUGGAACAAUGGAAGCAUAUAAAGAUUAGGAACUGAAGCAUAUAAAUCUCAUCUUCCUUACUGAUAAUCAAGAUCCAUGAUAACAAAAAUGGUUAUGCAGUUCUCUCCUAUAGAUCGAUUUCCAUCAUUCCAUCAUUCCAUCAUUUCUGCUCCUUGUUUGAUUUGAAGCAUCCAUCCAUUUCCAUUAUACAUUAAGACCUUUAGAUUCUAUGAUACUUCAAUGAUAGUUCUGACUCUAAAUUAAACGUUGUUUUAUAGUUGCAUCAAUUAAAACCAUAGUUUCCAAAAAAAAAAUGUAGUACACCUUGGGAUGUAUUCCUAAUAUGUAUUGCAAGUUUAUCCAUGACUUUAGAAAAUAAGGACCACUACCAAUCCCUAACCAAGCUUGUAGUGAUUCGAACUUUGAUUGUACCUCCUUCAAUUGUUGUUACUAUAGUUGCUACUCCAUUUUAUGUCUUAAUUACAUAACUAUUAUAUAUUUAGUUCUAGACCUUUCUUUUCUAAAACCUUCCACAUUACCCUUCUGAGUAAACCAUCUUAUGCCUUCUCAAAACCAAUAAAUACCAUAGGAAGGCCUUUCUUCUUUUCACUAAAACCUUUACAUCAAUCACCUAAGCCAAAAACUUCCAUUGUGUGAUCAUCCUGGGAUAAACCAAAUCAGUUUUCUAAUAACCUUAUUUGCCGACCAAACUCCAGAUCAUCACCCAUGUGCUUCCACACCUCAGCUGGGAUACCAUAUUGUUCCAUGCCUUUUUUGCAUCUUUUCCACAGCUUCUUCGACUUUAGAGACCCUUUGCCAUGUAGACACUAAUUCCAGAAAGUGCCAAUAAUUUCUAAAGGGGAAAAGGAUAAAAAUUAGAAUGAACAUCUCAUGGUUUCCAUGGCCAUGGAUUGAGACAUUGCAGCAAUCUUCACCAAGGAUAAUGUGUACCAAACUGUACUUGGAGUGUUAAAACAAGUAAUAAGAUGAAAUUUUAAAAUUUACCACAUUAGCUCUUUUCCAAUACUAUAUUUAUAUACCAUUACAGAACCAAGAAUGUAGCAACAUUUCUAAUAACAGAUGAAAUAAGCCAUCAUAAGCCAGCUUCUUCUAAAGAACACCCACAUGCUAACCAUGAACAAGUAUUGCCAAAAAAGUGUUAUUUAUUAUAAUGAAUUUAAUUUUAAUAGUAAACCAGCCAGAUGAUCAUAAGAUUAUGAUUGGACGAAUAAAUACUUACAUGUAUCCACCCAAGAGGGAAGAGGGAUUGCUUAUCCUGCACUUCAAAAAUUUCCUCUUCAUUUGUGGUCUGACACUGAUCAGGAAUUACAAAUUAAUCCUAACAGUUAUAGAGGUGCAAUUUUAUGCAGCAGAUAUGAAAUAUCUCCACACAACAUUUAAAGAAACUGACUUACUGAAUCUGAUGUUGACUCCUGCUUCGGAAUAAUGAGAGCUGUGACAUAAAAUUUUCUGUUCUUCUGCAGUAAAAAAAAUUUUAAACAUUAAAUAUGACAUAGUGCUUAAAACCACUGUAGUGGGGUUACAUUGUUCAACACUCACAAGUGAACCUGCAAGGAUACCACAAGUUUCCAAAUUCCUGACAGUGUUCGACUUAGCAAGCUUCAAGAAGCUUUCCAUCAAUACAGUUGACUGCAAAGCAAAACAAUCAUUACAACAAGAGACUGCUCACUAAAUCUUAUUUUUAACUGACUUACGCAUAACUCACAAGACGACAGAAGCUCGCAUAAAAAAAAACCAAUGAUCAAAAUGAAGAGGAAAGUCAAGAAUCUCACAAUGUGCAUUUCGAGGGGAGCUUCAGAACAAACUAACCCAUCCGUUGAUGGGGUCUCCAUUUGGCCAUUUACCUCACUAACUUGGGUGGGAGUCUCUGGGAUCAAAUCUUGUACGUCUGCCAGAACAGGUGGAGGAGAAGGCUGUCUGAUAAUCUCUGUAUGAGGAGUUUCUGUGGUUUCAAAAGAAAUCAAGGAACCCAGUUCCUCAGCAGGAUGAAUCUGAUUAUCCUCGUUCAGUGUAAGGACUGAUUCCAAACUAGAUUGCUCAUGUUCUGAGCUGCUAGCUUCAUUGUUAUUCAUAAGUCCAUCCUCCACAUGAUGCUGCAGACUGUUUCCCAUGAAGACCACAUGGUUAUAUGAAUCCAUAACCAUAAACAAGAUAACAUAAGAAUGGCAACAACCAACAAACACAAACAAUGCCAAGGACAUAGGACUAGCUAAUUAAAACUUUAUGAACACUAAGUUCAUGUCUAAUAAAAAUAUAGUGCCAUCACAAAGGUAUCUUCUCAUGCCAUUUCCCAUUAUUUUAGAUCUGAUCUGACUUAAUCUGGAAGGAAAAGUUAGUAAUUCACAAAUGUUACUGACAGUCUAACCUUGGAAAUUGAACUGGAGUCAAAUCUAAAUUGCUUGGAUAUUGGACCUACAUUCACAAGAGAAAAGUAAUUAUAGUUUGUGCAUUGUUCAAACCAAAGAAAUACUUAACAUCAUACCCUUUUAUCAAUGGUAGGUGGCUGCCACUGCCCAUGAAGUCCAUUUGGACCCAAAAUAGAGUGUCUGGAUAGAGUUUCCUCCCUUGGGCGCAGGAUACCAACAGAUCUACAAGAAGCAUUUAAACAAGCAAAAGUGCACAAUAAGGCCUAAGGAUGUCAUGUGUGACUUGAAACCAACCCAACUUUUUCUGUCAUACACUUAUCUUUAUUUUCAUUAAAUAGAGUCUCUUUUGGUACUCAGUCCAUUGAAUAGAAUAGAAAUAAUAUCUACACAUAUAUAAGUAUAAUGUUGCAGUUUUGAAUGUCUAAAGAAAAAUAAGUGUGCACAAAAAUUGUACAAAAAUGAUUGCCAAACUCUUCAAAAUUAAACAAUUUGAUGUUCCAUGCCUUCAAGAAUUUAGCAACAGUGUCAAUUGGAUAUUUUCUCCAAUUGGCAAUCAAAUCAAAGAACCAAUAAAGGCAACAUAAUACAAGUACUACAUAAGGGAUUCUUUGGGGGAGAGGGAGAGAAGAAAAAGAAAAGAACCUAAAUGUUAGGGAAAAUCAUUUACUAAGAAUAAGAUAAUAGCAGGUGACAGCUCAAGGUCGAAGUACUACAUGUCAGGUUGGGUUCUUUGGAUACAGAAGUUUUAUCCAGGGUUUCUUUUGGAAAUUGAGUUUCAAAAGAAGAUUAGAUCUGGAAAAGAGAGAUUCUGCUUCAGAGGAGCAAUGCUGAAAUGCUAGAUUUCAAGAAACCCCACCCGGUAGUCUCCAGUAAGUAAAAAGCUUAAUUUCACUUCACCUCCGGCCCCCUGGAUCAAGACCUUGCACUCUCAGCGAUUCGGAAAUUGUAAAAAUGUUAUGCAUUUCUUUGCUCUCUUCCCCUUCCUUUUCCACCUCCUUACCUCGGUUAGACAUGGCAACCAGAUAAAUGUGGAACUGCAGUCAUCUCCACAACCUCUUCCCAUAUGCAUAUCUUUGUAGUGUCCAGUUGACACGAAUCUUGAACACAAGGCAUGUCCAAACCCUCUGCCUGUACACGUAUCCAUGUCAUCUUGUGUUGUGUCAUGCCGGCACAAAUACUCCAGGGAAAUUAGGUAGAUCGAUGUAACAAACUUUUAUGAUAUAUUAGGAAACAAAUAAAUAGCCUCUGACCGCUGGCUUAGGGGCAAAGUAUUAGGGUGGGCCUGGGGAGGUUUCAAAUAAAUUUGUAUGCCCAAAAACAGAAGUUACAUCUCAAAAAAGGAAAUACAGCAAAUCUAUGUGCAAGCUGCAGAUAACUUGGACUAAAUAAAACAAUUUAAUUUUAAAAGUAAUAAAAAUGGAAGAAUAAAAGCAUAUGUAACAAUAAGCUAAAGCAAUAAGCUAAUUCAUUUUUCACAUUUAUUAAAUUAAAAUUUAACUUGGCAUAUAAAAUUUUAGGACCAAAUUGCACACAACUUUUAAUUUAAGGAAAAUACACCUAAGACAAAAUCAAGAGGCAAUGCAAAUUACUUAGAUGUUUAAAAGAUUUUGAGCAAAUACUUAGCUCACAUAUUUAAAAGAACGCAUUAUGGCCUUUGUCGCCUAGCUCAAGUGAUAAUGAAUUGUGGUGGGGAUGAAAGGUUCCAAACGUAAUUCCAUCAACAGAAAAAGAGAAAAAAGGGGGGAGGAGAAGGAACACACAGAGAGAGAGCCUAGUAAAUUAUUUUUUGAAAUAUUAAAAAAAAAAAAACAUUUGGUAUUUUAGGCCUUGUUAUUUUACUAUAGAACACAUAUAGUAUAUAAAUCUAUUCAUCAUAUAAGAUUCCUGUUGGUCGGCAUAAUUCAAUACCUCAGCACCUGGAAAAAGCAAAAGAUUAUAUAGAAACGCCAGAAGUACAAUAUGUUGAUUCUUAUAGAUAAUUUUUUUUUAAAGGGAUUUCUUAUAGAUUAAUAAAUUCCAUGAAGAUUCCCUUUGUAAAAAUUCCACAGUUGAUUCAAGUAAUGCGAAGAGGCAUUAUACAAAAAGAAUAAGUUACAUAUAAUUUUUUUAAUAUUGUUGAACAUACUCAAAAGUUAAUGCUUUGUAUUCUGUUUUACUUUUGCAUAAAAAAGGCAAAGCUUUGAGAAAAUACGGUGGCAUGGUCUUAAUUCCAAACGUUUUUUCUGGAAAUAUUCAAAACAUUUCUGCCUUGUAGAAAACUGAAACAAAACCUAAAGAUGGAUUCAAAACCCCAUAGUUUCCAUCCAACUAUUUUUGGUAGAGAAUGAACAGUUAUUAAGAGAGAGAACAAUGAGAAAGGCUGCAGAAAGGAAACUGCAAGGGGGGAAAACCACUCUGGCAUUGUCUCCAAGGUCUGGCUUAGGUGGCAAGGCAUUUGGAUGGGGGGAUGUGGACAUUCAAUUCCAGGUUCCACGUAACCACAAAAUAUGUUACCCAUCAACAAAGGCAAAAAAAAUACCAGCUCUUACAUCCCCCCACAACAAAAGCUCUACAUUCAAAGACGGAGAAAGUGCCUCUUAAAACUCCUCAAGAGUCAAAUCUCCUCUUUUAGCAACCAAAAGAAGUAUAUAUAUGUACACACACAUGCACACAGAGAUAUAUCACCUUCUUAUAAUUAGAUUAUUCUGAUAAAGGUGAUAUCCAUGCUAGAACAAAAGCCCCUCAAUCUCUCUCAAGCCUCAUGGAUAGAUAAUCCUCCAAGAUUCUGAAUAACAACAUUUUUAUCCGUUUUGAUAUUGACCCUUUUCUUGAAUAAAAGCCUGUUGGGCAAAUGUCUUAUAAGACUCCAUCUAUGGGCUUAGAUGCCCACUCCAGAAAACCCUACAUUAGCAGCCUAGAAGAAAUAUAGUUCUAUUAAUAGUUUGGUUACUAGGUGUUGCCUGUGCAAACAGGACUUAGAAUUGGCUUUACAGAUUCUCAUCCAUUACAAGUGGACUUCCAAUUUGGGGUCCUUGGUGUUUUGCUUGUUCAGAGUAUCCUGGGUGAUUCCUUGCUCAAAGAUUUUAUGUGCAGUUGGCAGCAAUCAAAUCCAAUUUUAUAUAUAUUUUGUGAAUUGGGCUAGGAUGGACAUAGAAUUUUAUAGAUUGGUUGAGCUUAAAAUAAGGAGAGGGAUUUUUUUGUUUUUGUCUUUCUUGUCUACAUUAGGCAUUUAUUGUAUACUUCAUGCCAACUGUGUUGUGCCUUCUCUUAGACACAUUUUAUACAUUUUCUCAUUUGCCUAUCAAAAAAAAGAAUAUUGGUUUUGUGGCUAACAUGCACAAGUUGGUAUGGAAAUUGCCUACUUUGUGUCUAGUUUGGACAAUUUGGAAAGCAUGUAAUAGAAGAGACUUCUGGAGGUGAAAAUUUCCUUUUUAAGGGCAUUAUUUGUGUGAUCUAGUAGGGUCAUUGGGUAUCCCAAAAAUUUUUCCCUCGAUUUUGUACAUAGUUUAGGUUAAGGAAGGUGGCUCAAUUGUGUAUUUUUUUAUUAUUUUUUCCUUUCUAGCCUUCAAGUACCUUGUACACUUCUUGUAUACUCAAGUUGCAUCCCUUUAUGAAGGUGCUUUUCAUUUUAUUCUCUCUCAUCUAUUUGCCUGAAAAAAAAAAGUUACUUUAUUUAAGCAUUAGUAAAUAACACUUGCUAUAAAAAUCAAAUACUUCUUCCCUAUAAUAUUGCUAAGCAAAUAAUUUAACAUUAUUAGCAUUAAGCCCUGUUUAUAUAAGAAGCAAUCUAGAAGAUGCAAUAUUGUUCCAUCCAAGGCAUCCUAUGAACUAAUUACCCUACUAGAUUAAUCAAGGGUAAAGUUAGAAAGCUCCCCCUGGUUUCAUAAAAUAUCAUGGCCUUCCAAUGAGGUUAAUCAAAUAUCACUUGUCACACCUCAGGACUGGUAAUUUAUUUCCCAUCUUUGAAACAUCACCAAUUCAAAAUUCAUAAUGGUCCAUAAUCUGAUUAAACUGACACCAUUUGAGAAGAUUAAGGCAAUAACUUAGUUUAUAGAACUUUGAAGUUCACAAAGAACAAGGACAUUAGACACACUAACUUAAUAAAAGGGUGGAUAAGGAAAAACUAUAAACUAACCAAAUUUAUGGUGCUAAGAAGGGGAAAAGUUAUUUUCCCAAAUAUGGAAGAGGAUGUUUUAUAUGCAAAUUAUGUGUAUGAAUUGACAUGAAAAGGAGCCGAACAAAAAAUAGCACAACCCAAGUACAUAGAAUGUGUACAAGGUGCCAAAACCAGCUUAGCCCAUAUCCAAGCUAUCUACAACAUACAACAAGGAAAGAUCAAUCCUCACCAUCAAGUACUUGGAUGACAAAAAGAAAGAUUUGAGAGACAUAUAUUCAAAAUCAAAUCCAAAUUCUCUAAUCCUUUAAAAAAAUCUUCUAUUUUAUCCUUCUAGAUGGUUCAAAACAAACAUAAAGGACCUAUUGUAAAAAACCAGCUUGCACCGUUUUCUAACAAUUUUUCUAGGCUUACCAAGCAACAUGCAAAUUGACUACAUGGGAGAGGACCUAUAACUAAGACACCAUUUUCUCCUUUUCUCGUCAUUAUCAUGGAAGGUCUAGUUAAUACACUAUUAUUUAUGGCAAAAUCACGAGAUUUACCAGAAAGUUUCAAAGUAGGGGUUGAGAGAAAAUUAGAAUCUCUCACCUCCAAUUUGUAGAUGACUAUUUUUUCUUCUCAACCAUAACAGACCACUAUUUAUGAGACCAUACAUGACCCUUGAAAUAUUUAGGAUUGCCUUGGGGGGCUAACUAGAGAGCAUUGGAACUUUUGAACCAACUUGCAGAAAAAAAAAGAUUCAAGGCAUCCGGAUGGACGUAAAAAGGCUUACUUAUCUCUAGGGGGGAGAAUUGCACAAAUGGAAUCUUAUUUAGAUAAUAGAUCCACCUAAUUCCUCACUAUUUUCAUGAUUCCAACAAAGAGUAAUUCUAGGAUAGAGGAGAUAUAGAGACUUUUGAGGUUUAGGGAGACGGAGAGGACCAAGGACUAGAUCAUUAGGUGGAGAUGGCAUGUAGACCUAAACUAAAAGGGGCUGGCACAAGGAGAUGGCAUGUAUCCUUCAAAUAUUGACCCUAAAUGUUUUUCUAUCCCUGUAAGUUGUAUCCGGAUUUCCAUCUAUUUAUGCUGUGUGAUGAACUGAUCCUGUCCAAUUGAUUAACACCGAAAACUUCAAAUUUGUUUGAAGAUGAAAAAUGAGAAGGUUUUGCUCCUGUUGAUCUUACCAUUAAUUCUUAGAAAUUGGAAAAUAAGUUGGAGGCUUUCCGUUCUCUCCCAUGAAUCUAUGUGAUUCAUUGUUAUCAAUUUAUGUUUGUGCUUUAUGGGGACUCAACUCAUCAAAAUUCCCUCUGAUCAGUUGUCAAUCUAGUCUAAUUCCACAAAUCUGGUUUCCUUUCAUGAAAUCUCUUCAUGGCCUGAUUUGAAUUUGCUAAGGUGGAAAUUGAAGAUAAAGAAGAAAUUAAAGUGAAAGGGCAAUAUGCAAGGGACUGUCUCUGACAGGCUGCCUAUAAACCCAAAGCAAGUAAUCCAAUUGGCAGUGAGUGACUUGAAGUUGAUCCUUGAGUUUUCAGGUUCAAGUGUACAGAGGUAUGAGUUCCCAGCCCAAACCUGUUUGAGACCAUUGCAUUUCCCAUCUAUUUCAUUUUUAGAUGGUAGCUAAGUUAGGUUUGCUGUUACUUUUUAAGUCCAAUGGUUGAACAAGUUUUCAGAUCUGUAAAAGGGAGAAACACUUUCCUCAAGGACCAACAUUUUUUAAAUUGAUCAAACAAAGUGGGUUUAUUUGCACACAUAUUGCAACAAAAGCAUGGAACUUGUCCGUAUGCAAGUUGAUGAGAUCAGUUUGAAGGGAAGUGUUCGCAGAGAGUUACAUAAUAACGAGAAUUCCGGGAGAUACACCCAAAUCAACCCCUAUCUCCCCCCAUUCACUCUCACAUGAGUCUUCUUGACUUGAGAAGAAAACCUAAAGCAUCAUGUCCAGUUUUGAAUCCUCAAGGUUUCACUAAAAUACAGGUCCCCAGAGCAACCCCAUAGAUUCAACCCACAUUCAAUCAUUCAUACUGGAAAAAUGAUUAGCUGCUGUAGUGGCAAACCAAUCAAAUGCUACAGAAAAAUAUUUUGAAAGUCACAACCAUCUCCCACUUCAUCAGUCAACUGACCCUCUUAGAACCAGUGAUACUUUAGUGCACAAAACUUCAUGUGCUUGAGAAGACUCCUGUGAGUCCCUGGUUCUUCUUCCUCUAGCGGAGUGUUUCUUUGAUGAUGGAACUUCAUGUGCUUCCAUUCCCUCAUGCUCUUCCUUUUCUGGUCUGAGGGGAACUAGGCGGGAUUAACGGAGGUCGAGGAGGGUGUUCUUCUGCAGGAGACUAUGGAUCAGGCUAAGAUUUUGGGCGUGGCUGCUGGAUGAUUCUACUGGAUUGUGAUGCUUUGAACUUUCAAGCUGGUAUGGCCAAGCAAGUGAGUGGGGCACUGAAGCUUUUUCAGGGGCAAGGCAGGGUGGGUGAGUUGACUCCUGAUGAUUCCAAGGGACUUGCCUGUACUGAUCAACCUCUUCUUAGAUCUGUUUGUGUUUGUUAUGGGAACAAUGCCCUACCUGGUUCAACAGGAAGUUUUUGUUGUCCUGUAAGUAUGUGGGAGUGUCUGGGAAGGGUUAUGAGGACGGUGCUUUCAGAACUUUGAUGAAGAUUGGGGAGAUGGGGGAGGCUAGUCAACGAAACGCCUCGAUAUUGAAAAGGAAGGGUGCAAUUAUUAGCUCAUAAAAGCAUAGAAAGCUUCAAAAGCAGUUCAGCUCAGUAGGUUAUGCGGAGUGAACAGGAAUGAGGAUGUAGCGGCUAAUUGAUCCUUAGAUGAGGUUGUUCAAUGAAGAUUGAAAUUUUUUCAUCUAAUGUCAAGGUCUCGAUGAUUUUGAUAGAAGGCAGGUGAUCAAGCAUUUGUUGGUUCUCCAAAGCUUAUUUGAAGUGAGUAUAGGAGACGGAGACAGAAGCUAUGUCUUUCAAGGUUUUAGGAGUUUAGGGGUGGACCACCGUUUUGGAAUUGUGGGCUCUUGAUGAUAGGGUGCUGGUGAUGGUGUGCCAGUGUUUUGACACACUAAAAUCUUUAAGUGUUUGGAGAUGGAAGAGAGGGCUUUUUCUGUUUCUUGUAAAUGCAUGUUCCUUAGGGUGUAUGGUUUGGUGGCUGGGGAAGAAAAGAAGGAGAUAUGGGAGCAGUUGGGAGUUGUUCGAGAAUUACAGGAGUGUUGGUGUAUUGGAGGAGAUUUCAAUAACAUUCACUUUUCCAGUUGAAUGAAAGAAUCCUAGCCAGCUUUUAAGUUGCUGGAUAUCCCAUUGCAUAGAGUGCUUUUACUUGGUGUUGUGGUCAUGGCCAAGUUGGACUUUCCUCAUCCUGCUGGAUCAGUUUCUUUUUGCAGGGGACUGGAAAGAGCAUUUCUCAAAAGUGAUGCAAGCUACCUUCCAAAGCCUGUAUCUGAUCACAACCCUGUUCUUCUGGCCUGCAAAGGUGCCCGGGGAAAAUUAUGUGGCCCUCGGGUACCCCCAGCUACAUCCUAGCAAGGAAGUUCAAAGCCUUAAAAGAGGGUAUGCUGUGUUUGAAUAAAAAAGUUUAGAGAUGCUCUGGGGCCAAAUAUCUUGCCUUAGAACAGAUUAGGUUCUGGGACAGUAAAGACUAAAGAGAAGGAUCAUGCUCUGUAAGUAGAGGUUGAGAUUUGGUCUUGGAUGAAUUUAAUAAGUUGGCAAUUAUGGAAGAAACCUUUUGGAGAUAAACAUCGAGGGUCCUAUAGCUUAAAUAAGGGGAUAGAAAUACAAAGUUUUCCCAUAGGGGAUGACUUCAUUAGGAAAUUGAGGAUGAUUUCUCUGUUGUUGCCUCUUGGAUUAAGAAAGGUAGUAGGUGUCCUUAGAAUUGUCGUUAUAGGAGGUAUAUUUAAAUCACUCACAGAGGCUCAAGUUGGCACUUGGUUGAGGACCACAACUUAAUGACAUGCUAAGUGAUGGAUUUGACCGUGGAGGCGCUUAAGGGAGUCUACAUCCCAACUUGAGAUGGCAACUUCUGGAGUGUUGCUGUCCUGGGUGCCAUGGUCUAAUUUUGCUUGAGUUAUACUCUUCUUUUUUUUUUUCUUAUUUCUUUUUUGUGGCAUCGUUUAGAAGGAACCCCUUUUUUUUUUUUUGAUAAGUAAAAGAUAUGCAUUAAAAAAGGCAAAACGCCGCACAGCAUACAGGAAGUAUACAAGGCAACUUAGGCCUCAAAAAACAAAACAAAGAAUCACCUCCCUUUAGGUGGAGGCUAUCCAUUCUAAAAAGCCUAUAAGGGAGAACGCCUCCUCACCUANNNNNNNNNNNNNNNNNNNNNNNNNNNNNNNNNNNNNNNNNNNNNNNNNNNNNNNNNNNNNNNNNNNNNNNNNNNNNNNNNNNNNNNNNNNNNNNNNNNNAAAACCCUAAAGGGAAGAACCCCCCUUCCCCUAAAUAAAUUUGGCCCAACCUCCCAAAGUUAAAAAAAAAAAAUUUUUUAAUUUUUGAAAUUUUAAACCCCCCCCCCCCCCCACCCCCCCUAAAAGCUAAUCUAUUCCUCUCCUUCCAUACCGUCCAAAAAAUACACAACGGAAUGGCAUCCCAUAUCUUUUUCCUUUUCUUUCCCACAAACGAACCCCUCCAACUAGCUAAGACCUCCUUUACAGUUCCUGGAAAGACCCAUUUCACAUCAACUAAACCAAAGACAAUAUCCCAUAAGGCUCUAACCACUGUACAAUAUAUAAGGAUAUGAUUUACACUUUCUUCUUCACAUUCACACAAGAAACAACGAUUUGGAAGUUGAAAACCUCUUCUUUGCAGACUAUCCAAAGUUAACACCUUCCCCCAUGACGCCUCCCAUGCAAAAAAAGCAACUUUAGUUGGUACUCUUGCCACCCAAAUGCUUUUAUAAGGAAAUCUCAUAUCAUCCGCUUUUGUCAACAAACUGUAAGCUUCCUUAACCCUAAACUGACCGCUUCUUCCUUUUCUCCAAAGAACUGAAUCUUCCUCCAAGGAAGGUUUAAAACCCCUCAAUAUGUGGAGAAACUCCCCAACCAACUCAAUCUCCCAAUCAUUGAAGUCCCUCAAAAAGUGUAGGUUCCAGUUUCCUUGACCCGAAUUUUGAUCCCUCAUUUCCUCAACCGUCAAAUUCUGAUGCGCAGCCAUACCAAAGAGAUGAGGGAAACAUUGAGACAAUGGAGAUUCUGAGCACCACACAUCUGUCCAAAAGCCUAUCAUGUUGCCCUUUCCUACUCGGAAUGUCAUGUUAUCCCAACACCAAUCUGAUUCUUUCCAAAUCUCCUUCCAAACCCCUACACCAACCGCCCCAUUUGCCUUUUUGGGCCUCCAAUCAAGACCCUCUUGCCCAUACUUCACCUUAAUCACUUGUCUCCACAAAUUAUUUUUGUCACAGGCAUACCUCCAUAUCCACUUGCCAAGUAAAGCUUUGUUCAACAAAGCUAGCUUUCUAAGGCCUAGCCCUCCUUUAUCUUUGUCUGUACAAACCACCUCCCAUUUAACCAAAUGAACUUUCCUCUCCAUGUUUCCCCCUCCCCACAGAAAAUCCCUUUGCACUUUCUCCAUCCUUCUAACAACAACCUUGGGCAUUCUGAAAAUGGACAUUUGGUAGAUUGGCAUGCUAGCCAAGGUACUUUUUAUUAAGGUGACUCUUCCUCCUUUAGAAAUAUAUUGCCGUUUCCAAAGAGCUAGUCUCCUCCUCACUCUUUCCUCCACCCCAUCCCAUAUAUAAGGCGCUCUAUUUGGGGCCCCCAAAGGAAGACCCAAGUACUGAGAAGGUAAAGUCCCCACCCUACAGCCUAGCUCAACAGCCAAUUCCUCCACCUCCUCCACCUCACCAACUGGAAUGAUUUCACUCUUGGCUAAGUUAAUUCUUAGGCCUAAAGCCGCUUCAAACCAGAAUAAAAUCCAACCCAAGUAAGUUAGAUGAUCCUUUCUAGCCUCACAGAAGAUAAUUGUGUCAUCAACAAAAAACAAGUGAGAGAUGUUCAAAGAGGGGCCACUUCCACCCCUUAUGUUGCAUCCUGAUAAGAACCCCCCCUCCACAGCUCUCCUGAUAAGCACAUCUAGCACUUCCAUCCCCAUGAUGAGAGGUAAGGGGACAGCGGAUCCCCUUGUCUAAGGCCUUUAGUGCUAGGGAAGAAACCUGCAGGCACUCCAUUAACCAACACUGAAAAUUUAGCUGACGAUAGGCAACUCCACAUCCACCCCACCCAUUUAGACCCGAAGCCCAUCUUUUGUAACACCUUCACCAAGAACUUCCAAUUGAUGCUGUCAUAGGCUUUCUCUGUAUCCAACUUGCAUAUAAUGCCCUUUUCCUUUUGUUUCUACCACGUGUCUAUCACUUCAUUUGCAAUUAAAGAAGCAUCAAGGAUUUGUCUUCCCUUCACAAAGGCAUUCUGAGAAGUGGACACCACCUUACCAACUACCUUCUUCAUUCUAUUAGCUAGCACUUUAGCCAAUAACUUGUAAAGCCCCCCCAAAGACUAAUCGGUCUGAAGUCUCUAAGAUCCUCAGCCCCACUUUUCUUGGGGAUCAGCACCAAGAAGGUAUUGUUGAGGCUCUUGAGGAAAGAACUAUGGACAUAGAAGUCUUUGAACAUUUCCAAAAUCUCCUCUUUAAUGAACUCCCAACAACUUUGCCAGAAUGCCAUUGUAAAGCCGUCCGGACCAGGGGCUUUAUCCCCAUUCAUCUCCAUCAGAGCCACAUAGAUUUCAUCCUCUGUAAAGGGCCUCUCCAAGGACUCAGCCUCUUGUUGGCUGAUCUGGUCUAACUGAAGGCCCCCUAUGUCCGCCUUCCACCCCAUAUCUUCUGAAAGCAAGCUUUGAAACUCGCUAGCAAUUCCGUCCCUGAUUUCCUGCUCCUCUAUCAGCCACUCCCCAUUGAUCUUUAUUCUCUCCAAAUAAUUAUUUCUACGGUGAGCGCUUGCCAUACGAUGAAAAAGCCCGUAUUUUCUAUCCCCCUCCNNNNNNNNNNNNNNNNNNNNNNNNNNNNNNNNNNNNNNNNNNNNNNNNNNNNNNNNNNNNNNNNNNNNNNNNNNNNNNNNNNNNNNNNNNNNNNNNNNNNNNNNNNNNNNNNNNNNNNNNNNNNNNNNNNNNNNNNNNNNNNNNNNNNNNNNNNNNNNNNNNNNNNNNNNNNNNNNNNNNNNNNNNNNNNNNNAUUGUUUUGUCCCCCAUUCCAAGUAAAUUCUCCCCCUUGAAGGGGGAGAUCCAUCAGCCCAAGAUCAUCCACUAUUUCCGCAAAUUUCCUCAUUGCUGAAUUCAUUCUCCUCUGGCUACUCCUCUCCCUCGGAAACAAAGUUAUGUUAAAAUCCCCCCCUAUACACCAAGGGUCUUCCCACAGCCCUCUAAUCGCCCCCAACUCAUCCCAUAAAGCCUCCCUUUCCACCUUGGAGAACAGACCGUACACUCCCGUAAAAAUCCAUAUCGCCCCAUUUUCUACAUUCCGGAAUCUACAAGAUAAAGUAAACUGGCCCUCUUCCCAAUCUAGAAUCUCCAGAGAUCUUUUAUCCCAGCAUAUCAGAAUCCCUCCCGAGGCUCCUUCCGCAUUCACAGCUUUCCACUCUAGAAAUCUUCCGAAACCUAUGCUUCUCACAAUGUUAUCCGACAUAGCUUGAAUUUUAGUCUCCUGAAUACAGAUUACGUCCACCCUCUGAUUCCUUAUAAACGUCUUAAUUACUUUUCUUUUAGAGCUAUCAUUUGCUCCCCUCACAUUCCAGCUCAGAAUUUUCAUCUUCAUUGGACAAUCACAAUCUGGCGCCCUUUGCCCUGUAUCGAGCCCUUCUGUUUAAUUCCCCCCUCAUAAUUAAUGGAGCAUUCCAGUCUUUUUAACUCCCUUUCAAACUUAGAUUUUUCCAAUAGCUCUUUACUAUGGAUUUUCUCCCUUCUCUUUCUGAUUUGAGACAAAAAAUUCAGGAUUUCCUUCUCCAAUCCCUCCGUGGGAAAUCCCAGGAAUUGACUGAAUUUCGCCAAAUCACUCUCCUCCCAUUUAUCCUCCUGCAUUCCUCUCUCUGUUCGGGUAUCAUAUAUGGCACCGACCCCAGGCAUCCCCCUUCCCUUAUCACUGCUGCUUUCAUUUGCUCCCACCUCCCUGCAUCCAUUGCUCCUUUCAAUACAGCCCUCAUAUACCGUUAGCCACAUUGUAUUGUCAGCCCGACCUUCCUCAUUCCAAUCCCCAGAAUGAUCGAAAGACUCCCCUCCCGGAGUCCGAUCAAAAUUAAAAGAAUUGAGAUGAGAGAUCCCCAAAACCCUUUUCCCCCAAGAACACAACCCCCUUCCAUACCUCAUUGACUCCUCUUCAAGCGCCUUAUCCGUCUCUGAUAUCCUAGCCACACCAUUUAACUUCCUCAUGUCCUCAGUCUCCCACACAACAAAAGGCUCUGGCGCAUGAGACUUACCUGGAUCAAGCCCCGUCAACAGUAAGUCCUUCUGCUGAAGAAUAUUGUGGUCUUGGCCUGCUGAUGGAGAAGAUGGGCCCUCCCUUGUGUUUACACCUAUAACAGGCUGUUGCCCAUAUCCCUUUGCAUUUGGGCCUUUGUUUGAUGGCAAGACUGGGCCUAUAAUGGAACAGCCCACCUCAUCAGACCUACGCGACGGGCCUGCUUCUGGACUUGCAGCCACCCCUUUCAUUUUUAAGCCCAUUACUCCACUCUUCAGCCCAGGCCCACCGACCCCUCUUAACCCCUUCAUCCUACAGAAAACUUCCUUUUUUAUCUAGACUACUUUAUGUGCACUAUGCUUGGCAAACAUACUGCUUAAAUCAUUAGAAUUUGCAAAGAGAUCUAAGUAAUCAAGCUUCUCCAAGCUGCAAACACCUCAUACAAAAUAGAAGGCAUAAAAACGCAUAAAUCAUAAGGAGCAUGAUGGGGAAAAAUGAUGUCAAAAUUUUGAAUGAAUAGAUUGCAUAAACUCUGUUCUAGACACACAACUCAGCAGGCAAUUGAUCUUUAACAGAGAGAUGAAAAAGCCUUUUAAUCUACUUUCAUUUCAGAAAAUAAGAAGCAGAACACUUACAGUCUGCGGAAUUGCUCUUCCACUGGCUUGGCUCGCGAGAACUGCUGAAUCUUUGAACCUUGAUAUUCAAAAUCUCGAGCAGUGGGUCGUGGUGUCUGUCAGAUUUGGAAUUACAUAUAGAAAAGCACAAGUUUAUUUUGACAUAGCACAUAACUUACUAGAGCAGCAGUGUACAAGAGGAGGCCGGAAACAUGUAAAGAAGAAAAUAAUAACUGCCUAGAGUAUACAAUUCAGACACUUUGAGAAAAAAACUACUCCUACAAUCCUUUUACCACCUUGCUGAGGUGAUAGUUGAUGAUUGGAAAAAGGAAAAAGAGAAUAUAUAUAUAUAGCAAGGUUUGAGGGUUGAGACAAACUUUCAAGUUUUUUCAAAAGCUCUUGAGGGUUGAGACAAGGAGACCCUUUGUCUCCUUAUUUGUUUAUCUUAGUGAUGGAGACCCUCUCUCACUUGCUUUCUAGGGCAAAGGAAGGUGAUUUUAUUGAGGGAUCCCCAAUCAAAAGAAGGGAUGAUGUGGGAGUGGAGGUCUCCCAUUUGUUCUUUGCAGAUGAUACUCUCAUAUUUUAUGAUGCUAGCAAGGAAAAUCUUGAGCACCUAAAUUGAGUCUUUAUGUGGUUUGAGGCGUGUUCAGGGCUAAAGAUUAAUUUGGAGAAAAGUGAAUUGAUUUCAGUUAGGGAUGUCCAAAAUUUAAAGGAGCUUGCCAAGGUUUUAGGUAGCAAGGUGGGUACCCUACCAACCACCUACUUAGGCCUUCCUUUAGGUGCUCCUUACAAGUCUAUUAGGGUUUUAGGAAUGAGUUGAAAAGCGGUUCCAAAAAAGGUUUGCUUUGUGAAAGAGGCAAUAUCUUUCAAAAGGUGGAAGACAAACUUUGAAUAAGAGCAUUUUAUCUAGCUUACCCAUUUACUGCAUGUCCCUCUUUAUUAUCCCUAAAAGAGUGGUGUAUAGAUUGGAAACAAUUCAAAAGGACUUCCUUUGGAGAGGAGGGACUAUGGUUAACAAGCCUCAUCUGGUAAAUUGGUAGGUGGUUUGCUUGGAAAAACAAAAAAAAGGGGUUUGGGUUUUAGAAACCUUUCAAUUCUCAACAAGGCACUUCUAGGGAAAUGAUCUUAGAGAUUUGAGAGGGAAAUGAAUCCUCUUUGGAAAAAGGUGAUUGUUGCAAGUAUGGGCUAGAGGAGGGGGGUUGGUGCUCAAAAGAGGUGGGAGAGAGACAUGGAGUGGGGGUUCGCAAGGCAACCAGAAAUGGAUGGGAGGCUUUCAAAGAUGAACUAAUCUUCAAGUUGGCUUAAGGAACCGAGUGAAGUUCUGGAAUGAUAGGUGGUACGCAGAUUUGUCUUUGAGGGAUUCCUUCCCAAACCUUUAUUCUAUAGCCUCUUCUAAAGAUGUUUAGGUGGUUAAUGUUUGGGAUGGGAAUAGUUGGGGUCCGAGGUUUAGUAGACAAUUCAAUGACUAGGAGAGGGAGGAAGUAGAUGCCUUUUUUGGGAGGUUGCAUGACCAAUCCACCUCUUUGGGUACUGAUGAUGUUAUGGUUUGGAUGGAGACAAAAAACGAUGAUUUUUCAGUUAAAUCCUUCUACUCUUCCUUGGCAAGUAGGAGAGUGGAGUCUUUCCCUCAUAGUAUAGUUUGGAACUCCUGGGCUCUUAUAAGAACUAACUUUUUUGCUUAGAAAGCAACUUCGGCUAAGAUUUUGACUUAGAAAGAAGGGAUGGAAGAUGUUUAAUAGAUGCUAUUUAUGCAAAGUAGAAAAAGAAACGGGUGACUCUAUUCUCCUGCACUGUCCGAAAGCUUGCAUGUUGUGACAGUUGAUUUUUGCUUUAUUUGAUGUACAAUGGGUGAUGCACUCUUCUAUGAGAGGGGUGCUCUUCAGUUGGGGAGACUCUUUAGUUGGCAAAAAAAGCAAAAAGGCUUGGAAAGUUGCUCCUUUAUACCUUUUUUGGUCCAUUUGGAGGGAGAGAAAUAGGAGAGCUUUUGAGAAUUGUGAAAGUUUGGACGAAACAAUUAAAAGUUCUUUUUUGUAUCUAUUUUGGGAUUGGAUUAGAUUGCACAUUAGGGAUGAGUCUAUGUCAUUGUUAGAUUUUGUGGAUUGGUUAGGUUCCCCAUAGGAUGCGAUUGCUUAUUUUUAUGUAUUCACCCCUUUUGGUUCUUGUCGUUUUGUAUACAUCGUGUAUACUUUUUUAAUACAAUAUCCUUUUACCUAUCAACUACAUAUGUAUAUAUAUAUAUAUAUAUAGCAAGGUGGUAAAAUAGGUCUCAAAGAGAAGUGGGAAGAGAAGCAUUUUCCACCAACAGUAUGCUUAUGGCUCUACAGCCCAGUCAACAACCUAGAAAAUAAUAAUCACAAAUGACUAGCAACUUCCCAAUGAUAUGAUGACACAUUAACUGUACCUUUGUCAUCUCAUGUUUCGUCAAAGUUUGUUUCCUAACAUGAGGCCAUUCCAGUGAGGAAUCAGCACCCCAUCUGUUUACUUGAUAUGUAUGUUUCUGGUUCAAUUCAUCAAUCUUCUGUCGCACAGCUGGCUUCAAUUCCUCCAACUCACACAGGGCUCUCAAUAAGUUCUAUCACAAUUUUACAGAAAGUAUAUCACCCUAUUUAGACAUGAAAUAAGAACUUGUUUUUAUAGUAAAGCAUACUCGACAAAAGCUGAUAUUACCUUCUUCAAAUAAUUCUUUUUGCUUUGUAGAGAUGCCUUAUAAUCACGAUGGCAUGGUAUAGUCUCAGAAGUUAAACUGAAAAAAAAGAACAGAAUUAGAUGACACUUCAGGAAAAGAAUAGAAGAUACUACAUGAAGUUAAUCCUACCAUGCCCAUAAACUGAGCUGGUUGUACAUUUUAUAAACCAGCUACAAACUCUAUAUCUAGUUAAAACAAAGAAUUUAUGAGCUGGUUUUGCAUUUUAUAAACCAGCGACAAACUCUAUCUCUAGUUUAAACAAGAGUUUAUAUAAUCUGAUUCUCUUUUCUCACCUUGAAAACCUUAGAAGCAUAAUAUAGAGAUCUAUAAUGUUCUUCUCUUCUCGAAAUAUGUCAGCCUACAAUGUCAGGGUUAAAAAUUAGGAGCUAAAAAACCAUUUUAUUAACAAGAAGCUCGAGAGGAAAAGGAAAACUAGCAAUAAUAAUAUUAGUAAUGUAGAAAGAAGUUACUUCAAACAGGGAAUGUGGAAAACAGAUUGAAGGAACAACAAAAAAUUAAUACCACAAUCAUCAAGAGAGAAGGAACAGAAAAAUAGACAUUCACAAAUGCUCCUAUUUCAAUGUUUUAGGUGUUCAUGAUAAGGAAGUGCUUUUAGAUGUGAUUUAGGUAACCCAGGUCAUUCAAGUUAAAUUUCAAGUAUGAACCUCUCCACCUUGGGUUCCACUUUCAGUGGAUUUAUUCAAGUUUCAAUGAAUGCGUUUUACGUAACCUAGGUCAGCUAGGGAUUGGAAGGGUGAUCAGACACCAUAGUGUUUCAGUGGUGAGGGUUUUCUUAAACCAGCAGGAGAGGAUUUAGGCAUCCAGACAGAGAUUUUAGUCCUUUUAGAAAACUUUCUACAGUCAGGGCUCAUUGCCUUUCUAACUUAUAGGUGGAAGAGGAUUCUACUAUUUUGAUAUUUUAGGUGUCUAUCACAGGGAAGGCCUGCCCUUGAGGCCUGCCUCAAGUGCUAAGGAAUUGGAUGGGAUUGUGGGAGGUACUAGGUCCAAGUCCUAGUGAGGACCAAAAAAAUAAAAAUCAAACAGAGGGCCUUGGAGGUAUGAUGGGUGGCUGCAUCAAAUUCUAGAUGUUGCUUGUGACUCGGGCUGUUCUUUUUGACAGUCUCCUCAUUCAGCUAAUAAUAUCACUGACCUUUUGUAAGGGACUGUUUUACCCCCCUUGAGGAAUGUAGAGACACUCUACCUUAUACAAGUUCAUGCAGUGCUGUUUUGAUGUGUAGCUUUCCUCUUAUUCCAAUUGGAGAAGUUCUCUAGGUUUCUUCUUUUAAUCAACUUUGGUAUAUUUUGGAAGGAUUUCUCAUCCUUCAUCAGAACUUAAAAAUCCAUAUUAAUGAAUUAGUCUGUUUCUGAUAAAUAAAUAAAAAAUAGAAAUGUUAAGUAUCCAACCUAUAUAAUGCCGAAUACCCCAUUUUUAUAGGGAAAAAAGUAGGGAAAAAAGGGCCAUUCAACAUUGCUUUGGUUGUAUAAUUUGUUAAUAUGACCACUGAGAUGCCUAAUAAAAUGUUCAGUACCCCAUAAUUUGAGAUUCCUGAUAAGAACCUUACAGCAGCAAGGAUCAAAAAGUAAUCUCUACUGUGCAAGGCCCAUAUAGUGUUCUCCAAACAAAAAUACAAUAGGAAGAAUCAUUUGAUACAAAGCGUGUAGUGCAGAAGUAAAAUCAUGGCAUGCAUUUUUUUCAAGUAUUAAGACAUGUUCACACCAUUUGAUACAAAACGAAAAGCACAAAGUGAAAAAAUUUCUUGUUUCUGUCCCUUUUAAGUCACAAUGGUCCUUGACUUCUAUCUGAUUUCCUCCAACAUAAGUAGAUGAUUAAAUUCAUCCUUAAUCUCCCUCUAAUUAUCCUUUCUCCACCUCUGGCCAAGGUCUUUCCGUCUCCCUGUUGUUCCAAAAGCUAAUCUUGUUCCAAGCCAUUUCUUUCUAAAAGGAUACAUUACCAAAAAUCUCCUUGUUAUACCACUUUAAGUCUUCCUUCAAAGCUAUUAACCUUUUCACAAGCACAUACAUGGAAGUGCUUGCCAUGACUUUACCAAGUCUCCAAAACCCUCUACUUUCAACCACAAAUUCUCAAAUCUAAAAGGAAUUUUUCUUUUCCUAGUCCCACCGCAUUAUACCCAAAUGGGCAAGCACUAGUCUUGGGAACAAGAUUUGAGAAACAAAUGAGAAAUGUCCCUCCCAAUCACCUCUACAAAGAAAAUGAUCCAAACGAGACAAACAAAGGCCACCUUUCCCUCCACACGAAGUAAAAAUACCGGAGGACAUACUAGCUCAAUUUCUCAAUUGUGAAACCAAGGUUUGGUUAAUCUCAAUUUUGAUGAUAAUAAAACAAGGUUUGGAAUUAAUGUUUCAUCUUGAGUUUGACUAGGCAAAAUGAUUUCCAAAGUGGCAAUUACAAAAACAAAUCAAGUCAAAAGAAAACCAAGAAAAAGAAGACCACCUCAAAUAGAAGAGCUUUCAAGAUUUUGAGUAAGAUCAUUUUGUAAGGUUAUUGGUACAAUAGGAUCAUGCAUCUUAUUUUUAUUCAAACACCUAAAAUCAUCUAAAAGUUGAAUUGCCUUAAAAUCCUUUAUAUUUGAAUGAUUUCAUGUUUUCAAUUAAAACAUUUCUAAACUUCUCUAAAGAGUUUUUAAGAAAUGUUGCACAAGUUUCUAGAGGUUUCAAAGCUCAAAACCAGAUUAUUUGAACACUUCACAAUGCAACCGGUCAUAGGGCCAAGGAACUGGUUGAGCCAAUUGGGCUUGACUAGGUGAGAUGCAUUUUGCACCAUUUUUCUUCCAUCUAGUGCUCAACCAAUUGAGCUUUUGGCUUGUCCGAUCAAGAACCGACCAAGGGUCAGUUGAGCCUCAAAAAGCCCAAGAUCACCUACAAAGCAUUUAUUGCCCAACAACUAGUGAACCCGUUGCUCAACCAAUCGACCCCUUAACUUGCCUAACAAUUGGUUUGGGCUUCCAAACUUUAAAAAGCAACUUCAAUCUUCAUUGUUUUAUAAAGCUUAAUAUCCCAAAAUCUAUUUCAAAUAUAUUUGAGCCUUAGGGAAAAGUUGUUUAGUGCACUUUAAUUCAAAACUUACAUAUCCUUUUUUUUUUUUUAAUAGGUAAAUUUUUUGUCUCCAUUGUGACUUCAACUUGAAACCUCCCAUAAACCCUCCCCAUCCCUUUACCACUUGAGUCAGGCCUCAAGGACAAAACUUGCAUAUCCAUUUAGUGCACAUCAAUCCUAGUUUAUCUUACAUCCAUCUGAACUUAAAUUUGUACUAAGAUUUUGAGAGUUUAAUUCUCAAUCAUUUCUUGUAACCUUUAUGAGGUAAGCUCGAGUAUGGGGUAUCACUUAAGAGAAAAAUCUAAGUGUCAGGUAUCACUUAGUAUUUGCUAAGUGUGGGGUAUCACUUAGGGAGUUCAAGAGUGAAGCAUCUCGUACAGAAUUUUGUAGCACCAAUUGAAGUCGAUGAAUCCAAUUAUAAAGCUUAAAGGCUUGUAUUAGAAGUCUUGAUAUAGUGGAACCUCAAACUUGGGAUUGAAGAUGGAGGAGAGUGGGUGUAGGUCGGAUUGUGCCGAACCACUAUAAAAUCUUGUGUUCACAUUCUCUCUUCCCUACUCUCUUUACUUUAUAUGCAAUUGUUUUUCCAUUAUGUUUAUUAUAUAUUUGCAUAUGGUUGUUCCUUCCCCCCACUCCCUUUUCUUUCUAGGGUGAAUAUUUUUUAUUGAUCUAGCUAAUAUCCUAACAUCAAUGAACUCUAAAAGGGCUUUGAUGGUAGAAGAAAACAUACUACAAUUGUUUUUCAAUUGGAAGUAAAUCACAUUAACGUCACCACCUAAGCACUAAGGAUCUUUCUGAAGCCCUCUGCUGGUGUCAAACUCCUCCCACAUCUCUCUUCUUUCCAUGUCUAAGGGUGGGCCAUAGAUCCCUAAAAAAAUCAAUAUAAAGUCAUUCUCAUAGUUCUUGAAUCUAUAAGAUAAGGAAUAAGCCCCCAACUCCAUUUCCAAACAAUCUAAUACUCUUUCAUCCUAGAUCAACAAACCCUCUACCUUCAAGAAAACCCUAACCUAAACUCUGACCUACCCCUAAGCUAUUGCGUAUCCGAAAGGACAUAGAGUUGAUCUUUGUCUCUUGAAAGCAAAUCAAGUCAUCUUGAUCAUGCAAGCCUCUAUGUUCCAAGAGAGAAUGUGAAGCUUAAUUUGGAAACAUACCUUUUUCAAAGACCAAACAUCCAUUACGCCUUCUACUUCAUUCCCACCACAGUUAAUGGAAUUGAAUAAUUUCCUAUAUUCCCUUAAACUAGUACCACUACUCACUAAUAAAAAAUUAAAAAAAAAAAAAACACUAGUGCCACUACUCACCUUUUAAACGAAUUAUAUAUUUAAAACCACCUUGCUUCUCAAUUUCCAUUUUUUUUUUUUUAUAAGUAAACGCACAAAAAAAAAAGGUAUAUAUAUAUAUAUAUAUAUAUUAGAAUAAAAGGCGCCUUAAGGUUGACCCAAAGCAUAUAGGGGAUAUACAAGAGGCACCAAAAAGCAAGAACAAAAAAAAGAGGGGAUACAAAAAAUCACUAGCCCUCAUCUAGAACCCAACCAAUCAAAAAAGUUGAUUAAAGGAAUUUUCAUUAAAACGUUUAGUAUAUCAUUUUCACACCCUUCUACAGAGACUUCCACAUUUCUACAAAACCAAAGGAAUUUCUAACUCCCCCAUUAAGAAGGCUUCGCCCUUGUCUGCAUGUUACCUUGAACCACUACUAGUGGCAAUUUAAAGCCUACUAAGCCAUUUGAGCUAGAUAAGAGAGGAGCAUCCAAAUCAAACUCCUCCAAACCUCAAUGGUACUCAUUUCCAUCUUUCACAUUAUUAAAAUGAUCAUUAAAAAUGUGUUUGGCCUAGUUCAUGACAAUAUUAAUAUUCAAAAUUCUACUAUUUCAAUUUAAUGCUAAAAAUGACAAAAUAAAAUUCCUAUCUUUUUCAUAUAAUCAAUUUAUGAUAAAUUUAAUUCACCAUUUUUUAAAAAUUUCACAAUGAUUUAUGUUUUAACUUGGUUUUAAUGUGUAAGUAAUUGCUAAUUUUCUAACAUUAGUCUAGGCUAGAAACAACAAAGAAUUCAUAUCCUUUUCAUAUAAUCACUUUAUAUUGAAUUUAAUCAUGAUCCUUAUUUUAGCUUUGUUUUAACUUUUAAGAAAUUGUUAAUUAUGUAAUUGUUGAACAACCAAUUUUCCUAAAAGCUUAAACUUGUAGAAUUUAGGUUCACAAUGCAUUUUAAGCUCCUUAACAGUGACAUUGGUUUAAACUAAAAACUAACGAAUUCAAGUUUACACUACAAACAACUAAAUUACAUUUUAUAUAUUUUAAAUCUAUAUUAAACACUACCCAUACUCAUUUUCCAUUAUCUAUAAUAUGCCUUGAAUACCCAUUAUCCAUAUCCAUAACCCACAUCCAUUACUUACUUUCUAUUAAAAUAUAUGCUAUACUCAUUACCCAUAACCUAUUACCAAAUGCCAAAGACAUGUGCUACUAUGGAAAAUACUUACAACAUAUAAAUCAAGUAUUUUAUCAUCAAAUCAAAUUUGAAAAACGGAUUUUUUUCUACAAGGGGGAACCGAUGUAGCCCUAACACAUGAAGAUGGUUUUUUUCUUCUAAAUACUUCUUGUUAUUUUAGAUUUCCUAUCAUAUAGAUCUUCUAUUGUUUUAGCUUUCUUAUUUAUUUUUAUGUUUCUUUUAGAUAAUUAAGUCAAUUACAACUACAAAAAAAAUUCCUUUUUUUCUCUAGGAUUAUUAGGUUUAUAAAUACUUUAUGUUAGUUACAGUUUAGUGAGAUUUUUAUUACUUUUUAUCAAUAAAAAUAGUUUUUACAAUUUGAAGAUUCUAACAAAGGCGAUCUUCAUUAUUUUAUUUUUUUUGAUAGACAAAGACAUAAUGAAAAGGUGAUCUUCAUUAUUCAUUCUUGCUCUUAAUGUUUUAGGUGUUCUAAGAAAUCAACAAGACUUUAGAUAUAUAAAUCUUGGUAAUUUCAAUAAGAAAAUCAACAAACUCUGGAAUAUGACACUUUUCGUCUUUUUUUAUUAGAAACACAACAUUUUCAUUGAAAUGGAUUAAGAGUACGAAAAAAGGAUGACAAAUCCUUCCAACAAUUGCAAAAUCUAAUCAAAACUGAGGUCAAGAUGCCUUCUCCAAAAAUACAUUGCCAAUGAUCCUCUCUUUGCUAAUUUUACCCUUUUGAUAUUGAAAAUCAAUUGUAUUAUUUGCUUAUCAAAAAAUGAUCUCUUAAACAAUUUUCGCUUGAAAGGUUGUAAACUGAUCCAAAAUAGAUGGUUCUAAAGAUAUUCAAUGGCUAGUUGAUACCAUAUUUAAUGCACCCAAAAGAUUACUUGAUUGGCCUGCUAAAAUACGAUCAAAACAAACUGCAACACUCAUAUCUUUGUAUAAAAAAUAGACCUAGCUACUUGAUCUGCACUAAAACCCAUUGAUUCAUUAUAAUGGGUAACCUCCAAUGCAUAUGGUAAAACCUAGACCAUUCCCAACCAGGUGAUCAAUGAAGGCAAAGAUCUCUAGUGCCCGAAGUAGAAAAGGCCACCAGACCCAUCUGUUUCAGCUAUACAACUGACCCAUCCCCACCAUCUCCACGGAUAAGCAAGACCAAAACUCAAUUGAUACCACAAAAACCUAACACCUAUUACAACCUUUUGCCAAAGGCUAGGCAACUGAAGGCAACAUUGGCCAGUAGCUAGGGCAUCAACAGCUAGAACCUCUGGUAAUGCUUCUGAAAAGCUCCCUCUAGGAUUUUUAAGCUUCCAUGACCUUCGAAGAGCCUUGAGCACACAAUAACCAAGCUUGACCAAGUCUAUAAUGGAGAUGUAAUCAACACGAACCACAUUAUGCAAAAAAAUUACAUCACUCAUAAAAUUGUCAAUACAAGAAGACAUAAGGCACCUUGCCUUGAAGCCCUUGGCACAAUGUGCCCUCAGGUGGAAGAAAAUAGGCUCUUCUAUCUGCCAACAUACUCAACUCAAAUCAUCAAAUCAGCAAAGCCUUAAACCACACUCUGGAUUGAUCAAGCAAACUCUUCAUCCAAUUAGAAAUUCAGUACAAAUCCACAAAACCCAAUUUAUGAAGAGAAACCUUUGACUCUGCCCUUUCAAAACCCACCAAUAGCUCUACCUGACAAUUUUUUCUCAAAAAAUCUAAAAACUCGAAAUGAUUACAAAUUAAAAAGUACUUCACACAAGAUUCAAUGAUCACAUUUCUUUCUCCUCUUAUGCUUAAUUUCAUAAUCCCACGUCCAACCAAACAUUAAGAUCCCUUCUAAGAUACCAACAAAGUUAAUGCAUUGUUUGUUAAGCAUCUGCAUGUAACUCUUGCUUUCGACACCCAAAUUAAAGCGGAACCCUAAGUAAACAGUAACUUUUCCUCAACCAACAAUUCUACCCCAAUUAUGGAAAACAAAAAGACCCGCACAUCAUGAACAUUUUCGCGGCACGCCCUCAUGAGAAAUUAUUAAUCACCAAUCCAUUUCAUAAAAACGGAGAUAAAAAAUAAACCCCAAAAGAAAAGAAGAAGAUACAAGAGUGAAACCUGUUUGAGGAUAUUAUCAGCGAUACGGUAGUAGUAACGGAGGGAAAUCCGAUUAUCGACAUCGAGUUUCUGAGCACUGGCGGCGAUGUUGAUUCCUCCCGAAGAAGGCCGCAUCGUCGCAGUGACCUUUUAUUUUCUUUUCCUUCCUCUUGCUUUCUACAAAAACAACAUUUUUCCAGAUCGGAACGGAACCCUAACGCUCGGAUGCGGAAGCUUCAGGGAAGCGUCGUCAAUGGCGACUUGGGCUCGGAGUCGAGCGAGAAAGAGCGCGACGGAACAAGGUCAUUCCGAUUUGUAACGAGGGCAAAGAUGGAAAUAUGAAUGAUCCCAACAACAAAAGAGGCCUGUUUGGCUGCUGUGAAAACAAUUUUCACGGUACAGAAUUAUUUGAUUGGUUGGUGAACCCACAUCUCUAAGGAAAAGUGGAAAACAAUUUUGAAAAAUAAAAAUUAUAACUUUGAUUUGAUUUGAAACCAAUUUGAACUUUAUUAGACUAAAAUUAAUUUGAUUAGUCAUAAGUUUUUUAUGGUACUGUAAAAUUAUACCAAUUAUGUUAUUCAAAAAAUAAAUUGUUUGUAGUGAUGAAAUUUUAUUUAUUUUUAAUAAUUAAUUAUAAUAGUAACCAAUUAUCUCAAUUUUGACCUUUUUUAUUUAUUUCUUUUGUCAUUUCAAUUAAAAAAUAUUUUUUGUUAUAAAUCUAAUUUAAAUUUUAAAAGUUCAUGAGAAUCUAUAGAUAAUAAAAAGGAAUAUCAUUCAUAGUAAUAAACAUAAACAUCAUUUAUUAAUAUUUUUUAUUUAAUAUAAUUAGAUGAUACAAAAUUAUAAAUGUCAUAAAUCAAUAAGAAAAAAAUUAAUAUUUUAUAAGAAAUAGAUAAUUAUUUAAAUGUAGAAGUGUACAUGAAGAUAUAAAAAGUAAAAUUUAAAAAAAAAUAGAUUUAGUGGGCAUAUAAUAAACCAACUUAAUAACUUAAUUUAAGUUAUUAACUAAAUUAUGAGUGCGUUCGGUAGUGAUUUUAAAAAGUAUUUAUAACAUUUAUAACACUUUAAAAUUUUCAUCAUUUAAGUAUUAAAAAUAUUAAAAACACUUCCUAUAAUCAUGGUCAAACGCACUUUAAAUAUGUAUAGUAAUGAUAUGACUUAAAGUUAAAAACAAUUUUAAAUAAUAAGUAAAAAUAAUUAAUUUAUUAUUAAGUUCACAUUUUUAUUUUAUCUUGUUAUUCUCAUUUGUUACCUUUAUAAUAUUUUUUGUUAUUCCAUGACUUCCAUUGUUGUUUGAUUUUUUUUUCCUAGUUAUAAUUUAUGAUGAUAAAUAUAUCAAUUUUAUAAUUUUGAAUAAAUUUUAAAUUAUUUUUAUCAAACUUAAAAUAAAUUUUAAGUAAUAAUUUUUAAAUCAACUACCUGAGUAUAAUUUAGUUUAAAGUCAUUAAGUAAUAAGUAAUAAAUUUUGUCAGACACCCUUAAGAAAACAAAGGCUAUGUUUGAGUUUUUAAAAUCUUUUCAAUCACAACAAAUUUAAACAAAAUAUAAGCAAAGUAAAGAGAUAGAGUUUAGAGAAUUCAAACUCGGGUUUAUAGUGGUUCGGCACUUCCUUGCCUAUGCCCACUUUCCUCAACCUCCUAACCGAGUGAGGGUUUCACUAACUUGAAACUUCAACCAAGUUUCCAAUCUUCUUACACUUGGAUUCCGCCUUCAAUGGACUCUUACACAACCUCUUCAAGAUUCAACCUUCUUAAAAGCUUUAACACUCAGAUUGUUACAAGUUAUAAUCACUCAACCUAACUUAAAGAUGACUCAAAUACAAGACAAAGUUAGGAUAACAAACAAGAGUGCACUAAAAGAUAUGCAAGUAGUGAUUUAAUGCACUAUGAAAGAAAUGAGAGCUUUUUGAUCAAGAACAGACAGGUAGGCUUUGAAUGCAAGUAUUCUCUUGUCAAUAAAUGAAGUGGAGCUCUCAAUUUAUAGGUUUCUAAGGUCAGGAGUCAAAAACAGCAAAAGGUAACCUCGUCCGGUCAAGUUAGGGGUCAACCGGUUCACUAGCCGUUGGAGCAUUUAAUGCAUGACAAGUUACCGUUGCCUCAACUGGACCUCGAUCGGGAAGAGAAGGCUACUAGGAGAGAGAGAAGGUUUUUGACAUUCCUUGACCGGUCCUCAACCGGACGACCACAACCGGUCGACCGAUUCCUCAAUCGAUUGACCGGUUGGCCAUAGCCUCGAUCGGUUGAGCCUUUUUGGCCCAAAAAACCUAUUUUUUUAUUCAUUUCUUUCCUACCACUUAAGCAAGGUCUUUAGGUAAAUUAUUAAGCCAAUUUUGAAACAUUUUGCCUAAUGUACAUUAGUUAAAAACUCGGGUUUUAAUGAAAUCGACAUUUUAAAUAAUAAACCGAGUUUUUAAAGAUGCAUGAAACGUAUGAAAAUCCUAAGUGCACUCAUGCAUUCAUCUUACAUUAGUUUCCUAUGAUCACAAGUCUUCCAAGCGUCUUGAUCUUGUAUUCAUUUGGUCAUUUGAUGAAUUUUUGAGUUUUAUACCUGAGAUUCUUAAACAUUAAACCAAUUAGUCACUUAACCAUUGUUUGUUAUCAUCAAAACCUGAUUAGGAGAACCCUUGAGCUAACAACCCUUAAUCACAAUAAAUGUAAUUUGAAGAAUUAGAAAUUUAUGUCUCUUAUAAAUGUAAGCAAAAUGGAUAAGAUAAAAAUAUCUACAAACAAUUUAUUCAAUACAAUUCGACCUACAUCUACUUUCAUUAAACUUCAACAUCAAAUCGAGAGUUUCAUUAUCUAUAUAAGUUUUUUACCAAGAUCUUAAACUUGUAUUAAACUCUUCAAUAGGUCCAUUGGUAAAUUUUGUAGCGUUGACGAAUGUUUUUUUUUUUUUUGUAUGUUAAUUCUUUUAAAUUAUGUUUAGUUAUCAAAAAGUACGAAGGAAAUAAAAAGAAUAUUAAGAAAAAUGAUUUUUUUAUGUUUGGUUAUUUUAUAAAAAAAAAUGAAAUAAAAUUAAAUAUAAUUAUAAAUUUAUUUAAUAUUUAUAUUGGUGUGUUAAAAUAAAUAAAAUGAAUUUGAAGUAACAAAUAAAUAUAAUUUAUCUAUUGUAACUUUUUUUUUUUUUUUUUUACUUUUUCUGCCUAUUUUUUUUCUUUUUCCACUUUCCAUCAAAAUUUUCAACAACCAGCAUUAUCUCAUUGCAUUUGAUUAGUGACUUGGAGGAUGACUUCUAUUUAUCAGUGAUGUCAUGCUCUUGGACUACAUUCAAUUAUGGUAACUUUUUUUCAUUUUUUUUCAUCAAGGGCUGGAAUUCAAUCGUGAUUACUAUCUAUUUCUGAAUAUGACGAGAUUCUAGCUCAUGUGUUCAUUCUUUCGGUUUAGGCUGGUCGAUUGAAUCAUGGCUCUAAUUGUUCAAUGUGAAUUCCAGGGUUAGGCCCACGGGGUGGUUAUAAACAGUGACCAUCAAGCUAGGCCCAACUUUGGCCGAUCUAGGUUGGUGAGGCCCAAUCUGGUCGAGUUGUCCCCACAUAGACAAACGUUCUAGGUGGUGUGGCCGAACCAUGUUUAGCCUAAAAGUUCAUUUGACCAUUCAAUAGCCUUGGCUAGGGUUGGUUUAGCAAGACUAGUCUUGUCUGAUCUAAAUCUUGUCUAAUCUUGGUUUAGCUAGGUUGUUUUUUUAUGUAUUUUUUUAUUACCUAAAUAUAAUAUUCCAAUCUAAAUCUAUUUUUGUUUAUCGUCAAAAUAUGAAAUUAAUCAAAAUUUUGAUUUCAACUAAAAGAAAAUUCAUUAAAAUCUUUUAAGUUGAUAAUUUCUCACCAUAACAUAGUAAAAAAUUUCCAUAAAUAAAUAUUCAAUAAAUUAAUAACCCCAUUUGAAUAAUAAAAUUAUUUAGUCCCCAUUCGAUAUUUUAUUAAUAAUCUUAUUAAAUACACAGAACAAUACUUUUUUUAGAAUUUCUUAAAGGCCCAAAGAAAUAUAAGUCAAUAAUCAAUAAAGUACAUAAAAAAUAGUAAAAAAAAAUUAUGAUACAGUAUCAAGUAACUUUUUACAACUUUCACUUUUCUUAAUUUAACUAUUUAUUCUAUAUUCUUAUCUUAAAACUAUUUCUAUAUUCUAUAAUUAAUGACUAUUUUCUUUAGAGUCUUUUUGAAUUUCUAGGUAUUAGUUUUUUACCUUAUCGAUUAUUUUUUUGAUUUAUAAGUUAUUAUUAUAAAGUAGGAACGUAAAGUUUUUCCAAAAUUAAUAAAUAUUUAUUUAUUAAUUAAUUAAUAACUUGUUAAGAUAAUCAUUUCAUUUGGUACGAAGGUAUUAUUUUAUAAGGAUUUUAUUAUAGUAUAAGUAAUAAAAAAUAAAAAGAUGAAGGUUAUAUUUGGUUUCGGAUAAUGUCAAGAAAAGAAAAAAAAUAUUAAAAAAAUGAUUUUCUUAUAUUUGAUUUUGACAUAAAAAUAAGAUAAAAAAUCAAAUAUAAUUAAAAUUAUAUAUAUUUUAAAAUUAUUUAAUAUUUAAUUAUUUACAUAACAAAUAAAAGAUAAAUAAAAUAAAUUUAAAACAAUGUAUGAAAUAAUUUAUUAAUUUUAAAUUUAUUUUUUAUUUUCUUUUUUGUUUUGUUUUUUGUGCAUGGAGCAAGUGAAAUGCAUAUCUAGCUCUUUCGUUACCUUUCUAUACGACCAACCAUCAUAAUUUUUUGAGUAAAAUCAACACCAUUUAGACUAAGAUUUGAAGUAAAAGGUCUUGCAGAUAUAAAAUCUUGAUUAAAUGAAUAUUUAGAAAUUGAACUAAAUUCUACUUGAAUAGUACCAUCUGUAUGUUGUAUAAUUUUUUAAAGAGUUGUUAAAGGUUUAAUUGGUUUUGGAAUAAUUAAAUCUUUUAAUUCCCAUUGACCUCCUUGAGUAAUUUCAUUCCAUUUUAAUUUUUUAGGAACAAAAGAUUGAGUAUUAUUAGGAUUAUAUUGUAAUAAUAAUGUUUUAUUUGACAGAUUGACAUAUAGCUCUAGGAUUUAAUUGAGUUGUCAUGACUUUAUAAUAUAUCUUAUAAAUUAUUGCUAUAGUUUGAGCUUCUUCUACAAAAUUCAUAUUUUUGGUUUUAAUGUUUGAGGUUAAACUUGAAAUAAUGCUUGGGUCAUUUAUAUUCAUGGAAAAGUUUGAAAAACAAUUAAAAUAAAUGGGACCAUUGGCAAGGUUUGAAUCAAUCAUGCUAAGGACGGAAUCAGUAAAUCUUGUUGACCUAGCACCUCUUAAACAAACAAAAACAUGAAUAUUUUAUGGCUACUUGAAUUAAUCCUAUAUGAAUAUAAUUAAAUUUAUUCAUAUGAUGAUUAAUAGUGUUUUGACUCAAUAAUUGAAAACUUUCUAAAUUUUGAUUAAGAGAUAUAGUUUUUUCUUCGGUUUUAAUUGAAUAAUUUUGACUAAUUUCGAAAUUUCCUUCUUGAUAUAUUGUAUUAAUUUUCAUGUGAGUAAUUGACCAAUUAUGUAAUUGAUUUUCUAUUUAUGCUAUAUUUAUUUCUUGACUAUUAACAAUAUUUUGUGCAUUAUGUAAUUGAUUUUCUAUUUGUGCUAUAUUUAUUUAUUGACUAUUAACAAUAUUUUGUGCAAGUGAUGUAUAUGUAGAAUUAUAUGAUAAAGAUGCAGAACUAUCAUUAGACCUAAGAGAUCUGGAAGAACGGCCUGUUCCAACUCGUAACACCACUUGUUUCUCAAGCAAAACAUGACUCUGAUACCAUUUGAAAUCUUGAAGUGUUGAACAUUUAAGAUUAUUAAGGAUUUCAGAAGUUCUUUAUUGAAAAUAAACUGGAUCUCUUAUAAAAUGUUUUGUUAUUACAAAUAUUAAUGUAUCGACGGAUUUAAAGUGAUUAAAAGAGGGGAAAUACAAACAGAAAAAGUAAAAGGAUGAAGAUUAUAUUUGGUUUUCGGAUAAUGUCAAGAAAAGAAAAAAAAUAUUAAAAAAAUGAUUUUUUUAUAUUUGAUUUUAACAUAAAAAUAAGAAAAAAAAUCAAAUAUAAUUAAAAUUAAUUAAAAUUAUAUACAUUUUAAAAUUAUUUAAUAUUUAGUUAUUUACAUAACAAAUAAAAGAUAAAUAAAAUAGAUUUAAAACAAUGUAUGAAAUAAUUUAUUAAUUUUAAAUUUAUUUUUUCUUACAUGUUGGUCGUAUUUUUCAGGUGGAAAUGUUUUGAAAAUCAACGAGAUUUUACGUGACAAAUGGUUCAUGGCCUUCUUUCAUUUUCGUUUUUUGUGCACGGGGCAAGUGAAAUGCAUAUCCAGCUGUUUCGUUACCUUUCUAUACGACCAACCAUCACUUUCCUGACUUUUCAAUGCUACCAAACAUGACUUUUCCAAAUUCCCAUAAGACGCUAUUAAUCACUUUAUUUAAUUAUUUUUGCAUAUAUAGGCCUUUCUUAUCAAAUAUUAUAUUUAUAUUUGGGUAUUUUAAAAAUGGGAUUGAUUGAGAGGGACUUGUGACACUUGUCAAUCAAUGAAAAUUUCAUUGACAUUCUGGUAUUCGGCAGCGUCAGCACCCAUGUAUCGUCUUACGGCUUUGCGGAGACCCGAACUAUGAAUCCUAUGAUUUCAUUAGAAAAAUUUUAAUUUGAAUAAGUUAGAAAGUGAAGGAAAAUACAACUUUUGAAUUUUCAAAUACCCUUUUAAUUAAAUAAUUAUUUUUUAAAUCAUUUUCUUCUUUAUUAAAAAAGUCAAAUUUGAGAAUACCACGUCAAAUCCAUUAUCUUCACUUUGGAAUAAUUAAAUUUAAAAAAAGCAAAAUAUGAAAACAGCAAUUUGAAUUUUAUUUUUUCAAAUUCAAUAAAAAAAAAGGGCACGAAAUAUCAAUGGUUGAAAAUGAUUUCAAGAGACUUCAUCCAUCUAUUUUUUUUAACAAUGUCAAAUUCAAAAUCAUAUAUUCAAAAUCAAAGUGGCUUGAUUGACCGGCUCUUAAUUCAUAACCAAAAAAAACAAAGUCAAUAAAUUAUAAAAUUAAGAUGGUGUUUGUUUUAUUCAUUUAUUUAAAAAUAAAUAAGUAUUUUAAUAUUAUAUUUUUAUUAAAUAUUAAAAAAAAUGGGUAUAUCAUUUUUUAGAAUUAAAAAAAGAGUCAAAUAUGUAAAUUUUUUUAUUUCGUCAAAAAUUUAAUAAAAAGCAAAACACGUUGGCGAGAACUAGACUUGAUUUGAUAUUUAGACAUGUAUUCAAAAGGCCUUGAACAUAUUUGAAUAGAGGAAAAAGGAUAAAAACUUCAUGCAAGAAACGCGGAGUCAGAUGUGAACAUAAUUAAGGUAUGAAGUACGAUUGGACCUCAUGCGGUUUGCUUGAGCCAUUUGGCAUUCUAGAAUUGACCACUAGAGCCCAGGUCUCUUCUUGAAAGCGUGUCACCCCUGGCACCACAUCGCAUGAUAUUUUAAUAAAUAUAGUAUUAAUUAUCUGGCCCCACUAUAACAUCUGAUCUGAUUAUAUAAAAAAUAUAAAUUAAUCAAGUUAAAUCCAAUAUAUAUUUAUAUUUACAUUUUUUCUAUUUAAUUAAAAAUAAUAUAUUGCUAUUAAUCAAUAUAAUUAAACUGUAUAUAUUGCUAUUACCAUCAAAAUCGUGUAUUUAUUCUUAAAUGACCUUUUUCCCUUUCAUUUAUCAACGGUUCAUUUUCCUAAGGUCACCUGAAUUUCACCUAAUCUCUCAUUCAACACGGCAGAAUGGACUGAGCAAUAAGAUCGAGGUUAGUUUAAAUCAUUGAAUUUUCUGGCUACAGCUUGUGUUUGACUUAGCCGAAAAUUGUGAUACUUUUUUCACGCUUUCAAUGUAUCUGAGGUCUUGCUAUUUGUCCCCUUUCUACGUUGUCUUUGUUUUUACCUAGGCUUCUCCAAAUAGCCUGGUGGCACUUUCCAUGUGCUCAAAUUUAAACCCGUUUAACCGAGAUAUUUAAAUUUUUAAUAUUAUCCUUGGAAAAAAGAAGUAUAAAAUUACAAUAUAUUAUUAAUAAAGUAAAAACAUCCGACCAUGAUUGUUGUUGCACUAAAUUUUUAUUUAAUAUUUUUUAAUUCUUAUAUUAUUUUUAGGUCUACCUGUCAUCUCCUAAAUGAUAAGAAAUUUAACCGUUCUUAACAUAAAAUAUUCCCUAAACUUUCAUCGUUAUAUUCGUAUAAAUUUAUAAUUUAGUGAUCGUGUUUUUAUGGACACAAUUGUGGUCCGUUGAGUUAUAAUGUCCACGUCAAUGAUUGCUUGUAUCAUUAUAGGCAGAAGCUUGUGCAUCCCAUGAUUUGUACGUUGUGGAGUUGUGGUAGUGCAGAAAAAUAUAUUAAAAUAAUAAAUUAGUUGGAAAUAUGUCGCUAGCUUGAGGGCUAAUUUCGCAGACCACAACCUCCGCCUACCAACCCAUUGGAAAAACGGCAAUAAUGCCAGUGCCCUAAGGAGAAGGAAAAGGUCUUCGAUGUAUUACAAUACAACAAGUAUUAUUGGAAGAAGUAAUUGAAAAAAAAAAAUGAAAAGGACAGAGUUGGUUGAUGGAUGAGGAAGAAGAGGGCUACCAAAAAUGAAAGAAAAUAUUAAAUUAAAAUGUAGUGAAAGCGGUAGGAAGUGCAGAAAAGCUGAGUUGACCCGAAACAGCCAUGGAGAGUUGAAACCAAGUCAAGGAUGUGCAGUACUACUAGAAAUCAGAGGAAAGGGCAACCACACAGCAUUUCAUUUGAAGCUCUCGUUCCACACAGUCGUCUCUGAUACGAAGCCUUACAGUUCGAAGAAGGUGUGUAUCGGGAUUACGAUAUUCUCGAAGGUUCCACCAAUUUAUUGGCCUCAAUCCUCCGAUUGAUGCCUCCAUGGGUUUCCUUUCUCUUCUCUGCUCUUGCCUGGAGAGGAGGCUGAAGGGCCGCGGCGGCGCCGGGGAUGAUGAAGCAGAUGCUGCCAGCGACGGCGACAGUUUCGACCUGUUCUUCGACCUCCGCGCUCUCCAGGUCGCCACUAAUUUCUUCUCCGAGUUCAAUGAGCUCGGGCAUGGUGGGUUUGGUCCUGUCUACAAGGUACGUUUCUUGAAUAUAGUGUUCAUUUAGGGCCAUUUUGGGUAUCACCUGUCGCCCAGGCUUCGUUUCUGUGGUGGUCUGUUCCGGUUGAGUUACCGGAACUGACGAGGUCUAAUUUAAGGGGAAGGCUCGUCACGUGGCAUUUUUCAUACCGUUAUAUCACUGAUGUUGUGAUAGAUGUAAAGCAUAUAAAUUAAAAAAAAAAUUAUUUACAAAAUCCAAUGAGUCCUUGGUUUGAAAUCUCCAACCCGAGAUGAGGUUAAGUUGGGCUUAGAUGAAUUUUCAAUCCAACCAAUCCACUUGAGUUGCAGCCCAUCUCAAAACAAUUGGUAUAUGUUAAAAGAAUAAACCAGUGACUCUUAAAAGUUUCUAAAAUUCUAGGUACAUGUCUAUCACAAUGUUGUGGUUUUCAAAAAGCUUUUGUUGAUUGCCAAUUUUUAGUUGUUUUCUGAGGGGGUUGUUCUGGAUUUUCUUGGUUUGUUUUUUAAGGAUGAUAUGGCAGCACAUGGCUGCUCUUGUUUACCAAAUCAAUGCUUCCUAAGUUAAAUUUUCAAUCAUAAUAAUUUGGCUCAUACAACCUUUGAUUUUUCUAAGUAGGUAAGUAAGAGUGUGUUUGGUAGUGAUUUUAGGAAGUGUUUCUAUCAUUUCUAAUCCUUGAAGAAUGAAAAAUUUCAAGUGUUAAAAAGAUUAAAAACGCUUCCUAAAAUCACUGUGAAACACACUCUAAAUAAUCCAUGAAUGGUGAUUCCAACAAGUAGAUAAGAAGUAUAUAAAGGGAUGGAAAGAUUAAAAACAAGAGGCCAAUUCUGGCCCAAACGUGACUGCCCCCUGCAAUCAACAAAAUUCGACAAGAAAGGAUUCAAAUCCACAAGCUUUAGACCAACCAAACAACAUUUUCAGAAAAGAAUCUUUCAAUUUAUAAUUUGAGCUGUCACAGUCUCAGAAAAUUCUCCUAUUUUGCUUCUUCCAAAUGCACCAUAAUGUGCAUAACAAUGCCAUCCUCCAAACUUUGGAAUGCCUCUUCCCAUUAACUGGCUAUGUUAUUGAUGCCCAGGCAAUCCCAAAAAGAGAGAAUGGUAGAAAAGACACAAUCUCAACUUCUCACAAUGGAUGAAAAUGUGAUCUAUUGUUUCCUUAAUUCACCAGAAGGCGAAAUCUUCUCAUCAUUGUCAAAAUUUUCUGCAGACAGCACAAGCUUCAAGGGAGCUCUUGAGCUCCAGAACUCCUUCAAGAGAACUUUAAGGAAGCUCCCAGAAAAAGAAUUCUACAAUAAGACUUAAAUGAAAAACGGCCCCUAAUGCACACUCCGCCACAUUGGUCUGUCUGAGGAAUGUUCAUUUGCUCUCACCAACUGAAUAAUCAUUUAUCCAUGUUUCACUAGGAAAAUUUGGGAGUGAAAGUUGACUUUUUUGACAACCUUGUUAAUCCUACCUCUCAAGAGUACCAAACUCAUGAAAGUAACGUAAAAAAUUCAUCAUGUCUUCCUGAACGAUACCCCAGCUACUACAGUGAAAUGCCAUGGUAGAGCCAUCAGGACGGUUUAUCCCCUCCCUGAUCAGCAAGGGCUGCCAGAAUCUCAGCCACAGCAGACACACUUUUCCAUGAACACCUCUAUUAGCCUCUUCAAUGAAACUAAAAGCCACCUCAUCCCUCCGUCUUCUAUCCCGGAAUCAGAAUAAAGCUGCUAAAAAAACUUGCAAGUUCCUGCUACUGAGAAUUAGCUAUUCUAUGGAAGAUUUUAGUGUUUCUGUUCUCUUCCUAGAGCCAAAACACCUAGGAUUUUGUUUCAAAGUCAACUCCCCCAACAGCACCAAAUGCUUACUCCAACAAAGCCCUCCUGGUCUCCCCUUCCAACAAAAGCACCUUCUCUUGCUCCUUCCUAUGCUAAAAACCAAGCCACUCCUUGGGAUAAGACUUAUGAAUACCUGCAUCCCAGGUACCUCACCAUUCUAGCAUCCAAAAAUUUCUUUCAAGGGCUUUCAGCUUCCUUUUGCCAGCACGAAAUUCAAGGAACCCCUAAAAUCAAAAUGAAGCUGCCAAAUCUUCAAACCUAACCUCUCUGAGCCUUUUUUUUUUUGAUAGGUAAAUGCAAAUCAUAUUAAAACACCAAAAGGGGCGCACCAAAGUACACAAAGUACACAUAAGUGGACCACAAACCCCAGAUAACACCCAAAUAAAACUGCCUUGUCUUAAAACAUUACUGAACAACCUGCUGAAUCUCUUUUGCUCAAAACUCCCACUCCAAGAAAUGACCUUCCUCAAACUCCUAAUCACCUCUUUAAACAUAAGUUCUAUCUUGGACUCUUGCAAACACACCACCUGACAUUAUAUAUGGCUUAAAAUGUGUUUCACAAAUGGGAAAGACACUGCAAUUCCAAAAAUCUUAGUUUAUGUUAGAUAUUGGGUGCAUAAAAAUAACACUAGUGAUGAAUGCAUGUGAUUUACAAGAAGCUUAUGUAAUAAUAACAAUAAUAGUAGUAUUAAAUUAAAUAAUAAUAAUAAUAAUAAUAAUAACUGUUCAUAUAUUUUUACCAUAAAAAACAAUGCUAAUGAUGGUAUAACUAUUAAAUUUGGACACAUAAAAUAAAGAACAAUAGUCAAAUGAUAAGACUUCUUAUAAAAGGAUCUACAAAUUAGUGUAGUAAGAUUCAUUUGUGAAGUACAAUAUCAUCUUUGACAACAAAUCCAGAUUCAGCAUCAUGGUAAGUCAAAUCAUAGUUAUGUUGAUCUUGUUUUUCUGGUCGUGUUUUGGUUUAUGCGUUUGAGUUGUGGAGACUCUAAAACUCUUCAGGUUGAUAUUAGUAUGAGCCAUUUCAGUCAUGCGUUAUCUUAAAAAAGCACACUUACUGUAAGGCAUCUGUAUGUCUGUCUCCAAUUUUUAGUUCAUAUUGAUUAAUGCAAAAGGAUUUGGAGGUCUUUCACACUGAGGAUUGGGAAUCAUACUUGAAGAUGUUUCUUCUAUGAAAAUUGGUUGAUAAGAAAAUCUAGUACAUAUGAUGGAAAAUGAUUUUAGGUGAUGCUUUGUUUGGAUAGGUAGAUGGAAACAGGGAAUGUAUUUGAGAGGAUUUUCAUGGAACAUCUUUCUCAAGUUUCGACAUUCAGGCAUGGUGGACAUCUAGAAUCAGGGGAUGUUCCCUGGAAUUCAUAUAUGCAUUGACAUUUUUACCUCUCUAGAUUCUCUGUUUUGAGUAUAACCCCGUGCAUUUUGAUUUUCUAGUUAAGCCAUGUUUUCCAGUUAUCCUCUAAUAUGGUCAUUAGAAUUUCUGUUUAGUGAUCUCCUGAUGUGGAGGUAGUCACACUACCCUGACACUGUGCUGAAUUUAUCUUUACAUUUAAGACCUCCCUCCGUCAGGUUUUGUAAUUUAAUUAUGACAAUACAUACCAAGACAAAACAACAUAACCAACUUACUUCGGAAGCCAAAUGACAUUGUGAAAAACCUUUUAUUCAUAUUGAUAUUGACAUUUAAAAUUAGCCACAUCAAUACAGACAUUUUUACUUGGAAAGAAAACUAGGAUCGGGAGCUCACUUGAGCAGAAAAAACUAUAGGGAAUAUAAAAUCUUGUAUUUCUAGACCGUAUUGUGAAUUGAUGUGGAAUGAUCAUUAUCCUUUUUCUUACAGGGAUUGAUGCCAAAUGGUACACAAAUAGCUGUGAAGAAGCUCUCACUGGAUUCAAGACAGGGAGUAAGAGAAUUCACUAAUGAGGUAAAAUUGUUAUUGAAAAUUCAGCACAAGAACUUGGUCACAUUGUUGGGCUGUUGUGUAGAAGGACCUGAGAAGAUGCUGGUCUAUGAGUAUCUUCCAAACAAGAGUCUUGACUGCUUCCUUUUUGGUAAAAAAUCUUCCUGCUUAGCAGUUAUAUAUGCAGCUGAAUUAUAUAAAUUGCACAUUAGCUAUAUUAUAUGAUGAAACUAGACCUGGAACAUGAUGUUUUCAGAUAAAACAAAGUCUGCAUCCUUGGAUUGGGCAACGAGGUUUCGAAUAGUUAUGGGUGUGGUGAGAGGUCUUCUUUACCUACAUGAAGAGGCCCCUGAAAGGAUUAUUCAUCGAGAUAUUAAAGCUAGUAACAUAUUGUUGGAUGAAAAGUUAAAUCCAAAGAUCUCAGAUUUUGGUUUGGCAAGGCUUUUUCCUGGGGAUGAAACACAUGUAAAUACAUUUAGGAUUUCGGGUACUCAGUGAGUGCUUUCUUCUUUUCACCUCUUUGUAACUUAUUCUCUAGUAGUUUCUUUACAAAUAAGUGAGUCAAUAUCAUGUUGGUAUCAUUAUGUUUUAAAUAGCUUUAUUGUUGAAGAGCUAAGAUGAAGAUGAAAAUAAGCAGCUCUCUUUUUGUUGAAUGCAGUGGCUAUAUGGCUCCUGAGUACGCACUACAUGGAUACUUGUCUGUUAAAACGGAUGUAUUCAGUUUUGGGGUUUUGGUAUUGGAGAUUGUGAGCGGGAGAAAGAAUCACAAUUCACAUCUGAGUGCAGAAAAGACGGACCUCUUGAGCUAUGUAAGUUUUGUCAGCAUCACCUUAACCCCACUAUCUCACAACAGGGGAAAAAACUGGAUUUGGUAAACCACCUCCCUCAAAAAAGUGUGACUACCUGUAAAGAACACAUCAAUCCUUAAUGAAACAUUUUUCUGCUUGCCUACCUGAAAAGGUUCAGCAAAUCCUUCAAUUUAUCAGCAGCAAUCCUAUUGUUGGUUGGAUAUAUGUCCAUUGCAUAACACUCCAAUAAAUUAUAGAUGGAAUUUCAUUUUUGUUGUUUACCAAAUGAUAAGUCUAGUUAAACAAAGUCACAUUUUUGUCCAAACAUAUCGUCAGCAGUGAAUGGUUGUGAAUCCUGAAUUCGUCACCAUGAAAUUGAUUUGAUUGCAUUCAUGAAAGGGAAUGUGCACUCAUUAAACGGAACCCUUACAGCACUGCAUAACAAGACUAGAACCACAUAACCUUCAUUUUGACAUGCCCACUCAAGUUAUAUAAAAAUAUGAUUAAUGCCUUAUACUGAUUUCAUAUAAUCCGAGUAUUUUUAUAAAUAAAUCUAAUUUGAGGAUUCUGAUCUUGAAGUAAAGUUGGUCUGCAUGUUCUGUUGUAUUCUGAGUUGCACAUGAUUUGACUAAGCCUCUUGAUUUCCCUUCAUUCACUUUCUGCAGACAUGGAAGCUCUACCAAGGUGGGAAAGCAUUAGAAUUAGUUGACCCAAGCCUUGCCAAGUGUAAUCCUGAUGAGGCAGCAAUGUGCAUUCAGCUGGGAUUGUUAUGUUGUCAAGCAAGUGUUGCAGAUAGACCCGAUAUGAACUCUGUCCAUCUUAUGCUAUCAAGUGAUUCCUUUAAUUUGCCAAGACCAGGAAAACCUGGAAUUCAAGGCCGAACUGGACGAUGGACGACUACCACUUCAGCUUUCACAAAUACUAAUGCCACUAGUACCAGCACUGGUAUUACCAAGGCUUCUGCUGGUAGUAGUUUUGUUGAGGAAUACUCCAGAAAUUCCAUCUCCAUUUCUUCUCUAGAUGAAGGAAGAUGACCUCCGUAUACUUUCUGUAAAGAACCAGAGCUCCAUCUAUUUAUGUAAAAAGUUUGUAGUAUCAAUUAUAAUAUUAUUCAUUGUAUUUAUAAUAUAAUCAUUUUGCUGGGAAAAUCUGGUGUUUCUAGUUGGGAAGGGCUCCAAAAUCAAAUUUUGGAAAGAUACUUGGUGCACUGAUACACCGUUGUCCCAUUGCUUCAAUCAUCUCUUUGUCCUGGCCGCGCAUAGGGACGCAACGAUUGAGGAGAUGUGGGACCAAAAUUCUGGUCAAGGAGACUGGAACCUAGUCUUUUUGAGAGACUUCAAUGAUUGGGAGUUGGAUAUGGUUGGGGAGUUGCUCCACACCUUGAGGGGUCAUAGGCCUUCUUUGGAGGAAGAUUCAGUUAUGUGGAGGCGAGGAAGAAAUGGUCUAUUCAGGGUCAAGGAAGCUUAUAGGCUGUUGGACAACCCUAAUGCCAUAGCUUUUCCUUCAAGGAAUAUAUGGGUGGAUAGGGUGCCAACUAAAGUUGUUUUUUUUGCUUAGGAGGCGACGUGGGGGAAGGUGAUCACUCUGGACAAGCUCUAGAUAAGAGGGGUGCAACUCCCCAAUUGUUGCUUUUUGUGUGGUUGUGAAGAAGAGAAUGUAAAUCAUAUUCUUUUACACUGUAUAGUGACUAGAGCUCUGUGGGAUAUUAUUUUUGGGUUAGUAGAUGUUAAAUGGGUCUUUCCAGAAACUGUAAAGGAGGUCUUAACUUCCUGGAGGGGCCCAUUUGUAGGGAAGAAAAUGAAAAAUGUUUGGAAAUCCAUACCGUUGUGUAUUUUUUGGACGGUUUGGAAGGAAAGGAAUAGGUUAGCUUUUAGGGGGGGUGUGUUGAAUAUCCAGAAACUAAAGAAUUCUUUUGUUUGUAACCUAUGGAGCUGGGUCAAAGUGUAUUUAGGCGAGGAGUCUCUCUCCCUUAUAAGCUUUUUGGAGUGGGUAGCAUCCACUUAAGGGGAGGUAGUCUUCAUUUGGUCCUGUAGUUUUUUGAGGCUUUAGUCGCCUUGUAUACUCCCUGUAUACUUUGUGGCUUUUAGCCUUUUUCUAAUGCAUAUCUUGUUUACUUAUAAAAAAAAAAAUAUAUAAUAUAAUCAUUUGCUUGAACUAGUGUACAUGGGAAGCAGAGGACACUAGCGAUUCAUUUUGAAUUUUUUAAACCUAUUGGUGUGUUCAUGAAUUAAAAUUCAAUCACCAUGGGAAAUGGCUGUGUAUUGGUUACAAAGAAUGAGAGAAACAAAAAUAUGUACUAGUGUGUUCUUUGAGUGUUGUUUCUCCAACCCUCUCUGGCCCUCAGAUGGUUCUUUCAAAAAUGGCUAUCUUAGUGAGGUUUUCCUGUUAGCCAUCGCUCAUGAUUAGGGCAAUAGGGCUUUCUUGUAUCGGUUUUAUCUCCAAUUGUUAUAGAUUAGUUCAAUGCAUUAUUGAGACUUUGAAAGUCCAAAAUCAUGACAACCAAUUUCUUUUAUUUGACUGGCGUUUCUUUUUGACAAUACAAAAGCUCAGUCAACACAACUCUGGAUGAGGAGUUCUAUUUAUAGCUUUCAUUUUUUUUCGUCUACCACCCUCAGUAUGAUUCGCAUACUAACACUGCAACAGAUGUUUCUUUCUAUCUUUUUCGCUCUGGUGUUUUUCUCUGUCAACCUCACUGGCGCCUAUGAAAGCCCUCGAUUCCAGGAAUGCGGAGUUGAUGCCGACAAAUACACCAACAAUUCCCUUUUUGCAGCCAAUCUUGCUCAUGCUCUCAACAAUAUAAGGACAUAUACAGCUCAUACAGGCUUCAACACCACCACUGUUGCGAAUGGGACGGAGCCGGUCACAGCUCUAGGCUUCUGCAGGCCUGACCAGACUCCAAUGGAGUGCCAAGCAUGCAUUGAUUCGGCUACAUCAGGUAUUCUUGAGGUUUGUCUGUAUCAGAAAACAGCUCAGAUAUGGUACAACUUGUGUAUGAUCCGUUAUUCUUUCAUGGACUUCCUCUCCCUUGUUGACCGCACACCCAUCUUCUCACUGUGGACUGAUUUUGAAACUCAAAGCUCAGAUGUUUACUAUCAAACAUUGUUGGCCAUGGUGAAGAACCUAUCAUCACUGGAUGCCGUAUCCAAGAGGCGAUACGCAGUAGGAUGGAGUAGAGUAAAUGAAGCCACAAAAGUAUACGGAUAUGCCCAGUGCACCCCAGACCUUAGCGGGGAAAGUUGCAGCAGUUGUUUGGUAAGUUGUACCGAGGAAAUGAACACUUAUUGUUGGAACAAAUGGGCAUGUUGGAGUGGUAUGCCAAGUUGUUCCAUAAUGUUUGAUAGAUAUCCAAUAUUUAAUCAGUCCAUUGAUACACCAGAAAUUCUUUUGAAUUUGCCAUCAAAAACUGAUUCAGAAACUCAAGCUGAAGAAGCUCCUAAGACUGGCAGACGAGGAAGGAGCAGCAUGGUGAUUGGAGUUUCAGGUGCAGUGGUUGGGACAGUUAUUUUGGUCGUAGCAGCCGGGUGGAUGAUUAUGAAGGGAAGGCAUAAGACUAAUAAAGGGCAAAGAAGAGGGAGUGGAGAUGAGGAAGAUGCUGAAGAGAGCAUAAGAGAGGGACUAGGGAUGAGAAAUUUCUUAUAUGAUAUGGAGGCAUUGGUGGCUGCAACUGAUAAUUUUUCUUCAGCUAAUCGGCUUGGAGGUGGUGGAUUUGGCUUCGUUUAUAAGGUAAUCAUAGCAUUUUUCUUCAAAACUUAGAAAGUUCAACUCUUCCUUGCGAAAGUGAUACCUAAGCUGAGUAGGAAGGAUGUUUUUUUAAAUUAAUUGUCCAAAAAUUAUACUGCAUGAUGAUCAUUUUAGUAGAGGUUCUUAGAAUGUAUAAGAUUGUUCUUAAACUCUUAAAUCAGAGAUCAAAUCCUUGAAGGGACUUGGUUGCUUUCCCAAUAAUUUGACCAAUCAACUGGUCCAACUGAAAGAUCCAUGCCUGAUUUUAAUGGUGGUGCUUCCUUUUCUGAGUUGGGGAUUUUUCAGUUCUUAACUCUUAAACCACCCCAACCUUAAUCAACAGGAUUGAAUCCAAUCUUGUAGCACAAGAUAAUUGGAGAAGUCCCAAGAUACCACUUGUUUUACAUGGCCUGUGAUGCUGAUUUCUUUAAUAGAAAUUGUCAAUUGUGAGUUUGUAAACAAAAAUGUCUAACCUUCUUAUCCAAUGUUCAUGCGGCCUUGCCUGAAACUAAUUAUUGAUGCAGGUCCCUGACUGGUCAGUUUUUCUUCAUUUACCAUCAUCAUUACCUGGUCAAGGAUAUAUACAGUAAUCAAUGAAGUGUAGCACUACCUACUGUGGUUUAUAGAAGCCAUUUUUUUUGACGAUUUGGGUUCAUUGACCAAGAGCAGAUAGCUUACUGGUUUGUUCUUAACCAGGCAUUGACCUCAAUUAGACAUUGGGGAUUAAAUUAUUAAUUGGUUCAAUGAAUCAAUUCUGUAGGGGAAACACACUGGCCCAUUUGAUUUAGAAGAUUUAAUGACCUCAUAACAAUGUUUUUAAUUUAAAUGAUGCUUAUGCCUAACAUGUUGAAGCUUAUACAUAGGGGAGAAUGCAUAAUGGUGAAGAGAUAGCAGUGAAGAAACUCACGGUUGGUUCCACGCAAGGAGUGGAAGAAUUCUCAAAUGAAGUGGAAGUCUUGGUGAAAAUGAGGCACCGGAACCUGGUCAAACUGCUCGGUUGUUGCACUCAAGGAGAUGAAAAGAUGUUGGUUUAUGAGUAUCUGCCUAACAAAAGUCUCAACUACUUCCUCUUCGGUAAAUUUUGUUUUUACAAUUGUGCUUCAUCACUACACUGUUUGAUAGCCAAGAAACAGAGCAAAUUUUCCUCUGUUUUCUUGGCAACUAAAUUUAUCACCAUCCUGAUAUGAUUAUGUUUUUGUCCUUAAAUCAUUCAAACAGAUAAGAGUAGGAGUGCACUCCUUGAUUGGCAAAAGCGCUCCAACAUCAUGGUGGGAGUAGCACGAGGGCUUCUUUAUCUUCACGAAGAUUCUCAAAUCAGAAUCAUUCACAGAGACAUCAAAACAAGUAACAUAUUGCUAGAUGAACAUAUGAACCCCAAGAUAUCAGAUUUUGGAUUGGCAAAGCUUUUCCCAGAUGAGCAAAGCCACCUUAGAACUCGCCGAAUAGCUGGAACUGUGUAAGUACCAAAAAUGGAGUUUACAUUUUGCGAUGUUCACAUCAUAUCUAUACAACCUUGCUAGCCCAUUCCAAUUGAACAUGACAGAUAGCAACUUCAAAGAAACACGACUUAUUAGAAUGGCCUUAAUUCUGUUUUUUAGAUUACUAAUGAUGAUGCUCUGAUAUAAAGAAUGUAUGCCUUUUUCGUAGAGGGUACAUGGCUCCUGAAUAUGCUAUUAGAGGUCUCAUGUCAACAAAGAUCGAUGUUUUCAGCUUUGGGGUGUUGAUGUUGGAAAUUAUAAGUGGUCGGAAGAACUACGACCCGCAGCUAGAUGAUCAAAGAAGAGAGCUUCUAAACCUGGUAAAUAUCAAAGCAAAUGCAACCCUUUCUCCCCUUUCACACUUGGGCUAUCUCCAUUGCUGAUUAAUCGAGUUAAAAUGUUGCAGACACGCAGACUAGAAAGACAGGGAAGGUUGAUGGAGCUUGUUGACACAACCAUUGGUUCAUUCCCAGAAGACGAAGUAAAGAAAUGCAUUCAUAUUGGAUUGUUGUGCUGCCAAGAUAACAUGCAAGAAAGACUGACCAUGUCAUCUGCACUCAUGCUGCUUUUGAAUAAUCCAGUAACCAUGCCUCCUCCAGGAAGGCUAGGGUUUCAGGGCAGCAGAGAAAACACAAAUGAAUCAUCUACAUCAAAUUCUGGCUCCUCCAUUGUUCUUGAAAAUGAGAAUGUUUCAAAUAAUACCAUGACUACUUCAUUGACAAGUGGUAGGUGACUCAUAGAUGGUUUCUUCAUAUAUGUUUCCUUUCUCUGUGUUGUUGCAGUUGGCCAUGUAAUAUUAUGAUUGAUCUAUUUACUCAAAAUCAUAUUUUAAAUUAUUUCUUAAAAUAUGAUUAUUUUAAAAAAAUAUUUCUAAAUUUAUUAUGGAGGAACCCAAUCUUUGAAUUGAUACCUUAAAAAGUAUUAUAUCAUAAAUUGUAAAACCAUCAUAUCUUAAUAAAUGCUAAAAAAAAUGAUAUAUUUUUUUUAAAAAUCCGGAACUUCCAACUCUUGCUGGAACAUCUUCCAAUUCUUAAACCAAAAUGUUCCUGGUAGAGUGACAAUAAAUUUUAUAUCAGAUAACAUGGACAGAAGAAGUCAUGGACAUGAACAGUGGUAGACUAUAAAAUGAGGUCAAUUCUUUGUAAAUACCCCACAGUCCACACCCACUCACAUCUUAUUGGUUGUUUGGUCAUAGAUAAAAUAAAGGAUUCCCCCAAGAUAAGAUGCCCUUCUUUCUCUCAAUCCUACUACUUCUAGAUUUUUCAACCAUUUUGAGUCUUAUAAAUUGAUUCCUUUCCAACCAAACUCAGCCCUAAAUGAUUAAAAAUUAGACACCAUACAUUAUGGUCAAAGCAAGAGGACAUCCAACUUUUCACCUUUUGCCUAAAAGUGACAUUAUUUUCUUAGAAUAAAAGUUUAAAAAAGAAGAAGAAGAAAUCCAAAAGCACAAUUUCCCAAUUCCUAAUUGGUAUUUUAUUAAAUUAUCAUAAAUUUUAAAAUAUUUUUUCAAUGGCUAUGCCUAUGAUUCUUAAAUUAUUUUUAUAACUAUUAAUUUUUUUUUAUAAAUAUUAAAAAUGGCAAAAAUAAGAAAAUCCAUUGACUAUGUAAUGCCUUCUGAGCAUUGGGUAGGGACCCAGGCAGGCAGACAAACUUGGGAGUUCUGAGCUGUCAAAGUCUGAAAAUACUACACGUAAUUCUACCUGGCGCUUCUCUUCACAUUCACUUUCCCACAAGAGAGAGAAGGAGAAGCUUCUCUCAUUCUCUCUCUGUACACCAUACGUCAGGACACCCAAGUUUGAACCAUCAUAUCCGGUCUCUACCCUUUGGGGACACUGGGAAUCAUAUGGCCAAUUGGGAGCUGAAGAAGUGUUGCAAUCAUGAACAGGUGGUGUUUCUCACCACCAUCUCCAUAUGCACUGUGGUCAUCCUCGCGGUAAUGCCUUCUUUCAUGGGUGCUUCUGUUUUUAAUCAAUUAUUGGCUGCAUUUGAUUUUUGAGGCAUACCCAUUAAGCAAAGGCAUGGAUAAAGUCAAUAUUAUUAGUAUCUAUGGAGUAUGGCCUGCAGUGGAGCAGUUGGGACUAGUUGGGUGAGUGGUGUGACAUGGGCCAGAUCUCUUUUUCCCACUGAAGAUGACCUGUUUCUGAAAAUCUGGGUGUGCCCAGAAGUUUGUUUUGCUUUCUUCAUGUGUUUUGUUGUGUGCUAUCUGCUGUGGCAGUACUUCACAGGAAUGCAUUGUCAGAAUCUAGGGUGCCCUUUGCUUUUGUACUGUUCUUCUUUGUGUUCCUUUACCAAUUUGGAUGAUCUAAAUAUGUGCCUAAUUUAGCUUUUCCUGUUAGAUUUUUCAAGGGGCGGAAGCAAGUCAUGAGAUCUAUUUGAAUUGCGGAGAGAUUUGAAAGUUAAAGUUAAUUUCUUUCUUAAUUGGAAACUAAAUUGGCUUUUGGGCUCUUGAGCAUUAGUUUGCUUUUUUAGUAGUCUUGGUUCUUCUACCAUAUCAAUGAUUAACUUUUUUUUCUUAUUAAUUUUCAUCUAGUCUUGUUCUUUUUUUCUUUUGCAUUGCUUUUCAACAUAUUUAGUUGUAGAUCCAUGUUGAAAUUCCACGGGGUUCGGUGAAUUGAAAUAUAAUAUUUCUUGUAUGUACAUUGAAUUUUGGACCUAGAUGCUUAAAUGGUCUUAAGCUAACUUAACUUAAGGGUAAUCCAAUCAUAUUCUUUAUGACGAUAAUUUAGACUUAACAACCCAAAAGUUUUUCACUUGGAGGUGUUUUGAAGCCCUCAUUUUCCUCCAAAAUUAUCUUUCUGGAAGUCCCCCCCCCCCCCCAGUUGUCUUACUUCGGGGGAGUAUCUUGCGUUGCCAAAUAAGGGUACACAGUGAGAGGGUAUGUUGUGCCUUAAAUGAGAAAAGAUUCCUCUAAGCUUCUCGACUGAAUGUGUUAGAUGAAGAAUUUAACUAUGUUGCUCUCACAGACCAGUAAAUCCGCAACUCUGUUUUUUAUUGGGAAUGGAUCUUUGAGCAAGGAUCUUGGGAAGAACUUNNNNNNNNNNNNNNNNNNNNNNNNNNNNNNNNNNNNNNNNNNNNNNNNNNNNNNNNNNNNNNNNNNNNNNNNNNNNNNNNNNNNNNNNNNNNNNNNNNNNAAAAAAAAAAAAAAUUUUUUUUUUUUAAAAUUUUUCAUGAGUUUUGUUUUUUUUUUUUUUGGCAUUGUUUUUCAAAAAUUUUUUUUGGAAACCCCUGGGAAAAUUCCCGGGGGUUGGGGAAAAAAAAAAAUAAUUUUUUUUUUUUGCCACAAAAAUUUGGGCCCCAGGGGUUAAAAGGGUUUUAAGCAAAUUUAAUUUGGGGGUUAUCCCAUUUUUUUUUUUUGGGGGAAAUUUUUGAUUUACCCCCCCAAAAUUUUUUUCCUUGGGGGGUUUUUGGAACCCCCUUUUUUCCCCCAAAAUUUUUUUUUUGGGAGGCCCCCCCCCCCCCCCCCCCCCCCCAUCCUUCCUUUUGUCUUAAACAACCCUUAAUUUCAAUAGAUUGCCAAAUACUUCAAAGUGAUCAAAAUUGCCCCGAAUUAGUUGAGCUGACCCUUAUUUGACCAAAAUCAUAAUGUUUGUUCAUUCCACACCAUUUUAAGCUGAGAACCCAACUUUUAACUGCAAUGCUCAAUUUUCCAAGAAAAAGACCAAAACCCCUAGCCUCCAACUGGAAUAUAAAUAGAAGGUUCUCAAAAACUGCCUCCAAUUGUGGUAGUUUGAAUUCAUGCAUUUCAUGGGAGCUGGGUGUCUGGUGAAAUGUACAACCAAAGUCUACCAAUUCCCAUUAGAUCAGGUCCUUGGUGAUUUUAACAGAAGAUAUGCCAUAUGUUUUGAAGUUCAAAUAAAUGGACUGUCAGUUUCCCUCUUUCAAAAUGGAAUUAUCACAUUCUUGGAGAUGGGUUCAAGAAGGGAGAAUUAAUCAAGAAUAGCAUUUCCUUUUCAAACCACUUUUUCCCCCCUUCUCAGGUUUUAUCUUUUGCUGGCCACGUCUAUGCUUAUUGGUACUGCUUUAUCUGAAAACCAAUUCUGCAGUUCUCAAUCUUGUUUAAUUCAUGUAGCUAUGGAGAACAAUAUUGCUGACACCAUUCAAGCUUGUCACUGUAUUUCUUCAUGAAGCCAGUCAUGCCAUCGCUUGCAAACUAACAUGUGGCCAUGUAAGCAGCCUUUUUCUCCCUUCAACUUUUCGUGUAUAAAUCAUGAGUGACACAAGGAAAAAGUUUAGGAACCUUAUUUUAUUUGAAUUUUAGUUGCACAAACAUAAUCCAAACAUGGGAGUCUGUAAAGCAAUAUAGUUUGUUUGCUUCUGAUUUGAAUGUUUAUCUUUAUUUUCAGAAAAUGCAUAUGUACAUUUUUCUUAAUUUGAACUUGACACUUGGAAUUAGAAGCUGAGCCAUAAGAUUUUGGUCUGAUGUCAGUUGAUUGAAUGUAGUCCCCAUAUGAAAAUUAUCUAAAAGGUAAUUUGUCUGCCUAUUUUUGAAUCCCAUAUCAUUGAAUUGUAUAACUUGGUGAUGUGAAACGGUUUCAUAACCAAACUCACAAAGUAAUAGAAAUCAGAUUAUUUAUUGAAAUUCUGAAAAGUUUGUAUUCCAAGUGAGAAAUGCAAAAUGCUUGCACUCAUUUUGGAAAAAAUGUGUAGACUGAAACACAAACAUAUCCUCCAUUUUAUAUUUAUUUAUUGAAACAGACAGACAGAGGGAGAGAGUUAUUUUUGGUUUAGUUUCCCUUUUCAUCAAUUUGUGCCACUGUUUUUACUUUCAAGUUAGCUGAAUAAGUCGAGGAAUGACAUGUUGACUUGACUAGGAUUCUUUCCACUCAUAAGUUCUUGGAACACACUUCCACAUUCUGGUUCAUAGAGAAAAAGCUUGUACAACUAACAUACUCAUGAUUAAUCUUUUUUUCUUGGUUUAGUUUUCUUUAUAUGCUAUGUGGUAUUUCUCUGAAAAUGCUAAUUAAUACAUUACCUUAAAAAGGACAUGUUAGUAAGUCUGACAUAGAUGAUUAUAUGCCUAAUUCUUACUAAUAGCUGUUGAUGAUUUCAUAUUAAUGGUGUUACUACAUUUCUUUGUUAAGCCUAUUUUGGGUGGAGUAAAUACAUGUUUGGUCUUUGUGCUCUGAAUCUGACUGGGGCGCUUCCAUAUACAGCCAUAGUUCCCUUUCCUUUACCACUGGGUGCCUACCCCUGGAGUAGACUUGAACAAAAGUAACAACAAUAGUUUCUAUUGAGUGUCUUUAUGCAUGUCAAUGCGUAUCAGUGUGGCUAUAAUUACAUUUGGGGUUUCUUGAGCUGCUCUCCCCCAUCAACUCCUCAGCAACCCUAGACAGGGAUCCGUUGCAGUUCUUCUGAUUUACUCUGUGGAAUGCAGGUGGAGGGGAUCCAGGUUCAUGCAGAUGAAGGUGGAACCACACAAACGCGCGGUGGCAUAUAUUGGUUAAUCUUGCCUGCUGGAUGUAGCUCCUUUUUUGCUCUGAUAAUUUCUAUGUCACAUCACAAUGCAUUCCUAGUUUUCACGCAAGAAGCAUAAUCUAGUAUCAUGCAGAUGCCAUACUUGGGUGUAACAUCAUUCAUUUGAUCCAUCUAUUAUCCCACAUAUAAAUUCAUGCUAUUUAUGAUUCUUGACGUUAUCAAUAUAUCUUGGAAUUGAUGUUUUGUCGUUUCUUUAUGGUAUUCCAGACCUCGGAUCAUCAUUUUGGGGAAUGGUCUUGAUAAUUGCAUCCACAAAUGUUCUCACUGCAAAAAUUGCUGCUGGAUGUUUUGCUUUUGCUCUACUUGUUGUACUUUUUGUAGCUAAAAAUGUAAGUAUUUAUGAAUCUCAAGGAUGUAUUAUACUUUGGUGUCAAAUUGUACCUACAGAUGCUGGAGUUCACGAACUGGAACUCCUUUUGAAAUGCAAUUACUAUUUUCAAUUUUCUUAGUAAAUGAAAGAACAAGUUUGUCACAUCAAAUGGCUUUCGAUGCCAAAUCUUGACAAAAUGUAGGAAUAGGGUCUUUCUCAAAGCCCUAUACCAAAUCAAGGUUAAGGAAAACAUGGUUGGACUAUGUUUACCUAAGUUUUUAGUAGUUAAUCAGACUAUGCAGGCAUGUUAUAUUUGUAUGACUGCUUGAAUAUUUCUGUUCUGUUAUUUAAACAGUGGACACUCCGGGGACUUUGCAUUGGUACGUUCUUUCAGGAUCUGGACGUAUCUUGCUUCCUAAAAUAUAACACAAGCUGCACAAUAAUAUUUAGAUGAUGCUCACGUUUACAUUUUCGGGCAUCAGGGUUCAUUAUACUCAUUGCUGUAGUUUGGCUUCUGCAAGAAACAACUGAAAUCCGCAUACUGCGGUACAUCAUUCUGUUCAUCGGUAACACUAUCCUCAUCAUUUUCUUUCCUUUCCACUCACUGAAAUGCUCCAUUUCGCAUUUCUUCAUGAUGAAUGGAUUGCUGUCUCUCUCUUCUUUGGCAAACUGCAGGUGUAAUGAACAGCUUAUUUUCAGUUUAUGGUAUGGUCUUGGAGACAAAGCAAUUAAUUCAGUUUAUAUAACCAUCUUUUCUGGAGUCACAAAUGACCUGCAAUGUGCAUCUACUGAUGCAGAUAUCUACGAUGAUCUGAUAUCCCGAAGAGUUAACUCUAGUGAUGCUGAGAAGUUUGCGGAAGUUUGUCCUUGCCCUUGUAAUGGUGUAGGUUGGGGUGUUAUCUGGUGAGCAUUUUAUCCAAUUGAAAAGUUUUUUUUUUUUUUUUCUCUGUUCUUGUUGAACUUAGAAGGGUUAGUUCUAUGAUUCUGUGUUUAUGUUAUAUUGCUUUGCUUCCUAAUUAUAAAGCGAUGUACCUCGUUGCAGGGGGCUCAUCUCUUUCUUGUUUCUUUGUGGAGCCAUGUACCUUGGUCUUGUGAUCUUGUCUUGAGGUACAUUCUGCUUGGACUAUUUAUUGUUUGUGUUUCUGUUUUGUUGCAUCUGCAAGGAUCAUCUUUAGGGUUGAGUGAGAUAUAGCAUGGUUUGGCUCCCAUGGCUUAUAUAUAUGUUGCCUAUCACAAACAAAAAAACGCCUUACAUAAUGUUUUUAUGGAAAUCCUUUUCUGUUGUAUUUGUCAAUUUUUCAGGAGGUUGACAAAUUAGGUUGUGAAUCAUGGCGAGACCAAGGACUUCUUCACGCUCCAUGCUCCUAUUUAUGGAUGUUGUUGCAUGAUAAUAUUGGAGGUGUCUCCACCAUGCUGAAUUCCAGAGCUUCGAGAUCGUCUCAACAGUUUUAUGCUAGAAAAUUUUCUGCUUUAUGAUUGACAUUGUUCUGAAUUUUGUUUCUUUUUUUUAACGGCUUUUUUUUUAGCAGAAAGAAAUUUAUAAUAGCAGCCUGAACAAGCAGUAAUUGGGAAUUGAAAUUAGCAAGUCUAUUGGAAGAGUGAACCAUCAACUGAAUAACAUUUUACUGUAAACAAAAUUACCCUGGUUGGCUGCACAAUUUCUUACAAGAAUUAGUCUUACACAUACACGAAACAUAAUUGGAUUAGUCUCGACAGUAAGAGUGAAAACCCAGCCAGGGCAUGUUGUGGGACAUGGGAUUUGGCGUUUGUCAGAACAUUGCUGCAUUCAUGUUUAUGCAUCGCCAAAUCUGGGUUCAAAGCCAUUGCUUCAUGAUCAGACCAUGUUGCAAACAAGUUUUAAUCAAGGGGUUUAUAGGAUCCGCCAACAAGAAUUAUAUUUUCCAAGCUGCAAAUGCACAUUCAUCACAAAUUAACAUGCUUGUAUGACCAAUAAUUUCCGAACUCCAAGAUGCCAUACUGAGAAUAAGGAAAAUUCCUUGAAAGGAUAAGAAUCCUACAUCAAACCAAACAAUUCCAGGGGGCAUAAAGCAGAUCAAAAAGAAAUAAGAAACUUCACAACGGUUCCUGCUUACUAAGCCAACUCAUUAACAUCAAAAUUUUAAAUAGUGCCCACUAAAUGCAGUUGUUAAGGGAAAAAGACAUGUAACAGAGACAAAUCAACGAGUAUAUCUAAGCCUCCGUCAGCGGGUACUCAAAGACAACAUCUUUGCCUGAAAGCUUCCUGUAAACUGCAGCAAAGGUCUCCAGCUUGUACUCAGUGUUGUUGCGUUCUUUUGGGUCCAAGAAAAUCUGCACAUACAGAAUUAAGAUGAGUGUGAGUGCAAGCAAACCAAGGACACAUCAUUCUUUUUUGCAAAAUAAUAAUAAUAAUAAUAAUAAUUUAAAUAAAUAAAACACUGGUAUAGCUUGUUUACAAGAAAUUUAUUGCUGAGCAGAACAUUCAUAAAAGAGUUAGUUGCUUCAUUAGAUAAGUUGAUAAUGAACCUUAGCCCAAUGGCUACUCUUUUUCCUGAUACUUUCAUCCAGGACAUGUCUGGCUACAUAUUUACCAAAUCAUUCAUUGACAAUAUGUAUACCCAGAUCUCAAUUGCCUGCUCCCCUAAAAUGAUGUCACCAAAGGUGUAGACUAGGAACAUGUGAUUGAUUAUGCAAUGAUAGUUAUUAUUUUGACCUUGAUUAUCUUGGAUCCAUCAAGACGGUAUCUGAUGCGCUUCCCAACUAUCUCAGCAGGUAGAACAAUAUCUUCCAGCAUUGCCUCAUGCACAGAAGUGAGUGUGCGGCUACGGGGCCGUUGAACAGCAGAACCUUUCUUUGGGGGCCUCACUAUCCUCCGAGUGGCAAUGAAGAUCACAUCCUGCCAGACAAUUUUAGGGUGAGCUUAGAAAAACAAGGAUGCCACAACCAGGAAGUAUAAUCCAAUAUUUUUACCACCAUCUCUGACACUUUGAAUCAGCAUGACAGAGACAACUGGAUUGAACCAAGCUACCAGCUCAUAAAAGUCAGAUCAAGCAAAGGCUCCAUAGCAUUAUCUAGUAGAGUGCAUCAUUUGGUAUAAAUUUGUUUCAGUCUCACGCAGCGCAUUACCAAAUUCCAGCUUCUUGUUUACCUUGGAAUCAGAAUUAAAUUGCAAUUAAACCAAAGGAAAGUAGUGGUUAUAUUACCUUCCCACUGAACUUCUUCUCAAGCUCUCUCACAAGCCUAACAUGAAUCUUGCGGAAAGCUUUUCUCAGUCUGUAGGGGAUAUGUAUAACAACAGCCUUUCGGGUGCCAGAGACAUCCACUUGACUGCACCAAUGCAGAGAGAACAAGAAUAAACUACUAAAUAAUGGCCAAGGACAAUUCCUUUUUAAAAACAUACAUUUCAUAAAUCA